rnacentral:lncRNA from 1 species
UUUUUUUCUUUUCUUUAUCAACCUAUGAUACCUAUUGAGAACAAGUGGACUGUACGCAUCCCUAUUUUACCCUUUUGGUGCAGACCCUAGUUGAGUGUGACUCAUGAUAACUGAGUUUGUGUGAUCAGAGUUGACAUUUUGAGGUACUACUGAGCUUCUAAGUUAGGGGUAAAUUCUGGCCAUCAUCUUAUCCUAGUUGUCUUUAUUUACUUUUCAGUGACAGAGUUAUGUAUUUCCAACUUUAUUGAGCUAUAUUAGAUGUUAUUUACAUUUGUGACAUUUAUCUCUGGGGAUUUGAUAUAUUUUAUUGGAAUUCUUGUUAUUUAUGGGUUAUGACUUGGUUUAUUUCUAUAAGUUUUGCAUUUAUAUGUUCAUUUUAUAUAUGCUUAGAAGUCUCGCAUUUAUGAGUUCAUUUUCUUAUUCUCGAUUAUUCUUAAUUUGUAGGAUUUUGCUUACCUGCUAAGGCUGGGCCGAGGUGGGUAUUAUCAAGACCUCAACUUUAGGGUUGUGACAGAUUGUCUUCAGAAUUGGAUACUGGUGUAUCAUAGAGUCCGUAGUCACAUAUUUGCAAACUCAACAUAUCUCAAAAUGCAAGCUUUGUGGAAUUUUUAAGGACCUUCCUUAAAAAUUUUUCCCUAGUUUAGAACCCUUGAAUUUUGGUGCACUACCUGACACUACUUUGUAUAGAAUUUUUGAGACAUUACCAAAUUUCUGCCUUUGUUUUGUCUUCAACAAUCUUUUGCAUUAAAUAUGUAAAAAAAUAUAUCUUCUUUUAUGAAAUUUUUAAGACCUUCUCAAAAAUUCUACCAGUUUCAAUUGUAAAGAAAGAUAGAAAUCUUACAGGGAAUAUAAUAGAGCCUUUAAGACACCUACAUAUCCCGUUGAGUCUAGAAUCAAGCAAAACAUAGUCUCCAAAACAUUUGAAAUGAAAUAAUGGACAAAAAACUUUCAAAGAAAAAUAUAUGUGUGACUCAUAAAAUCAAAUGAACAUGCAUGAAAAAAAGUAGGUAGCAUAUAACACAAAACCAAUGUAUUACGCGUGCUAAUAUAUGUGUGAACUUUUAAGCCUAACGAUUUAAAGAUGUAUAUGUUGCUUAUAAAACAUCCCAUUGCCUCCAAAAAUUAUAUAUACAAAUUGAUUAAAAUAAUUAAGGAUAGAUAAAGGAAUGAGAUAUAUAAUAAAGUUAAUUGCAUGCAGGUGUACUAUCGUAGACUAAUACGCCUCAAAGAUCCUCCAUUGUUGGACCUCUUAAAGUUUUGAAUGCCUUUCAAAUGAAGAUCUAAUCCAAAAAACUGUCAAAAUAUUUUCCAGCCCAAAGGGACAAUGAUCCGUAUAAAUUGACAUCAUAUCCCUCAAUUAAACACAUAAGGGUAUGGUUUUCUUUUUGGAUAGAGAGCGUUUUUCGAUAGAAGUCGGUCCCAUUAACAGGCCUAAUAACCCUGGCAUACUGGGUCACUUAGGUAAUCAUGCCUAGUAGAAGAAAUUUGAUUUAGCUCUAUCUUAGUUUUACUAUGGUGGACUUCUUUAAAAAGAGACUAGGACUGGAUGGACUAACAUUAGUUGAAAUGAUAACAAGUGUUGCACGAUCCAGAACCGACUUAAUAUAUAUCAUUUUGAUAAUGUUUGUUUUUAUAGUAGAGGAAACAACUUCAUAAAAAGUGUAUAGGUCCUAAUGCAAUCAAAUUUUUUUCACUUGGCGGAAUCAAUAUAUCAUGAAUGCAAGGAUAUGGUACAUAUAAUUAAACAAGUAGUGAGUAAAUAACUGAACAACAUAAAAGACAUACAUGAUACAAGAAACAAACAAAAUAUACAAGCCAAUACAAAAACGUAUAAAAUUUAAAAACUCCUCAAUUGAAAAAAGGAACUCAUAAUGGUUGAAACAUUUAUAUCACCAUUGAAGUCACCACUUUGUUACAUCCCUAUUUUCAUAAGGUGCAACUUCAAGACUCAAAAAUUAAUCAAUAUUUUUUUGAAGAAUUAUGAGAGUCAAUGCUUAAUCUUAGGAAAACUAGGAAACCUAUUAAUUUAAUUAAAAAAAUUUUACUGAAUGAAACCAAUUAGAUUCUAGGUAAGAAUUUAAUUUAAUUCAAAAGUAAAGUGUUAGGGACUCUUAAGAAUCAACAACUGCGGGUUCAGACUGAACUCGUUAUUUUUAUUGCUGAGGGGAUAAAAUUAUUUGCACAAGUAUAAUAAAUAAAUAUAAAAUAUAUAAAAAGAAUAAAAUAAAGCAUGAAUAACAAAGAUAUAAAAAGAAUAAAAUAAAGCAUGAAUAACAAAGAUGGGCUAAUAUUUCUUCAUUUCUAAACAAACUAAUCUAUUGAGCAAUAAACAAAAAGUAAAACCCAUCUUUCGCGCAUGGGUGACCUUGAAAAUCGAUGAAACAUUUUUCAUUGGCCUAUUAUUAGUACAUAAAUAAAAGAAAUUAUCAAAAAAUUAAAUGUAAGAAUAAAAUCUAAAUUCUAAUGGAGAGGCCUUGAAAAUUUAACGAAGAGGUUUUAUCGUUGGCCAAACUAGUAAUUAACAUUCCUUGUCAACGUAAAAGUGUAAAAAAUAAUCUCUAAAAUAGCAAUUAAAAAAGUAACAAUGAAUAAUCAGACUAAACAAUGAUGAUAAACAAUAAAAACUACAACAUCAACAAAGUUACAAUGAAUUAUAAAUAAAAAAUAAAUAAAAAUAAUAAAGCUUGCAAAUUAGCAUACUAAUCAAGAAUAAUCAGGCCAUUAUCGAUAACAAGUAACAAAAUUGCAGCAUCAAUAAAGUAACAAAAGAGCGAUUAAAGUAACAUCAAGAAAAGGUUAUAAAAAUAAUAAAAACUGUAACAUUAAUAUAAUAACCAAAAAUAAUCAACGCAACAUUAAUAAUAUUAGCAAAAAUCUUAAUAAAGCUGAUAAAUAAAAAUGUAUAAGAGACAAAACAUAUAUGCAACAUGAACAAAAAUAUGUAUAAUAAUGACAAACUGCAAAAAUAAAUAGAUAACACAAAGAAAUGGAAAGAUCUAAGCCUUACCAUCACUACAAGUAUAUUUGGAGUUUUACUUUGCCAGAGCGAAUAGUAAGGUUACUGUAGAAGAUGAAUGAUUACCAGAGAUUUAUAUCCACACCAAGAAAUGAAACCUAAAUUGAUCUUUCAACUGAUUUUUCCCAAACAAGGAUAUAGCUAGAGUAGCAUUAAUAAAACCACAGGUACUAGUAAGCAUCAUCAGCAAUCAAAAUUAAAUCACAAAAGUACAAUAUAAAUAUCUAAAAUAAAAUAUUUACUUAAUAAUAAGGUAUCCAAAUUGACUUCCACUAUUUUCCUGAUUUUAUACUCUUCAUCAAACCCUCGUAAAAUUCAAUUAUGUCUACUCUAAUCCACAAGUCAACCACAAAUCAACAUUCAACUAGAGUUCACCACUUCUCAAUAUCUUACUUCCUUUCUAAUUACACAUUAUCAUUCACUUAAUUCUAUGAACCCAACAUAUUAUCCUUUACGAACCCUCCCCCAAGCCACUAAUAACUAGUCAACUCUAACUCAUUCAUAAUAAUAACUUUUAGAAUACUUACUGUCACACCCCUUCCCAAAAAGAUUUAGCUUUUAAGUUCAAAAAGGAUUUUUAUUAUUAAAGUGACAAAAUAAAGAUUUAUUUCAAAAAAGGAUUCAAUUCACAAUUAAAUUCUGAGUCGCCACUUGACAUAAUUCGGUGUGCCAAGUCAAUUUUAGAAAAUCUUUUUCAAAAUAAUUUUACUCUUUAAAUUGGUUUGCGAAGAGAGAUUCCUUCUAUGGAAUUCUGUUGAUAGAGGGAAAGGUGUCAGGCACCUCUCAAUCUCGUGAUUCGACCACGGUCGCUUGGUGAAGUGUAUCGGCUAGUAAGUCACUAUGAAUAUAUAAACCCACAAAAGACAUGUAAAAUGAGCAAACAAACACAUCAAACAACAAUCUAAAAAAUCCAAAAUAAUAACGUCCAGUCCCAUUAUACUAUCCAAACUAAAUAAAAUUAAAAAAUUCAAAUAAUAUAAAUUCUAUUCUAAACUAGUCCUAGACUAAGCUCCACUUGAUGCCUCGGGCCUUCCUCACGAACGUGCUCUGAAUACAAAAUACUUUGGCACAUUUCUCGGCGAAUAAACAUAAAUACCUCAGGACAUUCCCCGACCCAAAUACAUUUAAUACAAACAAAGCACUAAAACCAAACCAUUCAUCACUUUUCAUACUCAAAUAUUCAACAAAAGCACUUAUUCCUAAAAUUUUGCCUACUCGAACCUAUAUUUGCCUAUCUGUUUCAACAGAUCAUAAUUCUAUCAUGUUCCAAAAUUAGCCAUGCUUAUUCUGAAUUAAAUAAAAAUAACAAUGAUCCAAAAUUGAACUAUAUUCACCCUUUUCACCAAUUUCUCAACUCCAUCCCAAACAACCAAUUUUACUUUUCAAACGAGAUAUCAUUUCACCGUAUAAGCCAUAAUCAAGGGAAUCAACCGCAAAUCAAAACGAACACACUGUCAUCACCAAAAACAAUCAAACAAUAAUAAUAUUCAGUCCAAAAAUACCAAAAUAUAGUAAACAAUAAAAUAAAAGAGGGAAAGAGUAGAAGUGGACCUUCCGAUAAUUGACUUACGUUGAUAGUGAUAUUUAAGAAAACCUGAAUUUGAAAUCCCAAAUAGAAACCUCAACAGUGAACCCAACUCAUAUCAAGAAAUAAUGACCCAGGCGGAUUUAAAUCCCAAGAAAGAAGAAGUAGCACUCAAAUCAAUAUCAAAAUUACCAAAAACCAAGAAAGCCCGUAUAUGAGAUUUUGAAACACAGACAAACAAAUAAAAAUUCAAGCCAAUAACAGAGAAAGUUGAGAAAAACCAUGGGAGAUAUUGCGGUAUUUUUGAUCUGAUCUUGCUAGAGUCGACUGGUUUGAUCGCUGCUCUGUAUUUCAAAGUGAUGGAGACCUAUUUUUGGCUUCAAUGGCGGCUGAAUACACUGAAUGAAUGCAGAUUUCAGCAAUUUUGAGAUUAAAUAGAUCAAACGAUCACUACAAACCAACUCUAGCAAAAUUUCACUGGAAACCCAAAGAGACGACCAGAUUUCUCAAAAUCGCUUCAUUCUCAAACCUUUUUUCAUAGUGUGUGCACAUGUGUGUAGGUAUUAUGAGGAUUGUGAAUAUGGAUUCUCAGAAUUGCUGUUGGAAUCAUAAGUAUAUGAGAUAACUAUGUGUAUAUUCUAUUAUUAAAAUAAAAAUGAGCCUCUACUCCUCUGUUUUUGAUCUUCAAAAGAAAAAAAAAUUGAGAUGAGAAUGGCCCCUAAAAAGAAUAGAAAAUUUUCUGGGUAUUAAUGGAAUGUCCUUCUAUUCCCCCCUGUGUGAAUUGUGUCCAUUUCUCUUAAAGAAAAAACAUGACAAAAGAGUGAGUUUUUAAAGGGUGGGGACCACAUGUGUAGUAAGGUGGGGUAGGGGGUGAGAUGGGUGAGGGACGUGAGCUGGUUGAUAUAAAGUUUGUUAGGAUAAGGGAAUACUAGGGAUUUGAUUUUGAUGGGAUUUAUUGAAAUUUUAUUAUUUUUUUGUAUUUUUGUGGGGUAUAAUCGCAUAGGUGGGGGCGUAUAAUAAUGAGAGGUGGAAAAUUGAUGAAUUAUAUUUUGGGAGGGACAAAAUUAGGUGUCUACAUCAUGCCCCCUUUGGGUGUAAACACAAUAUGUUUUCAUAUAAAGAAGUAGACAACAAGAUAAAAUUUUGUCCCGAUCAUUAUUCAAAAGAAUGAAACAGAAGGAAUGAGGGAAACCAAGUCUUGACUUUGGACAUCAUACUCAUCCUUAGCUAUGAAGGAAUCAAAUCACAGGUAUCUCCAAAGGAAGGAGAAGGACUAUAUCGAGUUGGAGAGUAAGUUGGAGAGUUGAGUGAGGUUCUAUCAAGGUACCGAUCUGCGGCUCUGUCAUUGUAUCAAAAAAGAAAAUUAUAAGUUAAAAAAUAAAUGAAAUCAAAAAUACUAUCUAUGCAGCUUUUUUUGGACUCUUGACUUGAGUUUCAUCACCCUAUUCUUCAGGCCGGCUCCUGACUUGCAAUUUGUUUAACUUGUUGCUUGGAUUUCAAUUGCUUUACCUUGUAGCUUGACUUUCCAUCUCUUACCCUUGUUUCUUGAACUUCAAUUCCUUCGCCUUGUUGCUUGACUCCCAAUUUCAUCACCCUAUUCUUCAGGCAGAAUUCUGACAUUCAGUUUCAUCACCCUUGUUCUUUCGACGGGCUCCUGACUUUCAAUUUCAUCACCCUUGUUCUUCAGGCGAACUCUUGACUUUAAAUUUUUAUCAUCUUUGCUUUUCAGGUAGGCUCCUAACUUUCAGUUUCAUCACCUUUGUUCUUCAGGUAGGCUCCUGACUUUUAGUUUCAUCAACCCCGUUAUUCCGGUGGGUUCCCCACUUUUAAGCUUCAUCACCCUUGUUCUUCAAGUGGGAUCCUAACUUUCAAUUUUCAUCUCCCUUGUUCUUCAGGUGGUAUCCUGACUUUUAUUUUUUAUCACCCUUGUUCUUUAGGCAGGCUCCUGACUUUUAAUUUCAUCACCUUAGUUCUUCAGGAAGGCUCCUAACUUUCAAAUUCAUCUCCCUUGUUCUUCAGGCAGGCUCCUGACUUUCAAUUCUAUCACCCUUGUUCUUCAGGCGGGCUCCUAACUUUCAAUUCCAUUACCCUUGUUCUUUAGGUGGGCUCUUGAAUUUCAGUUUCAUCACCCUUGUUCUUUAGGCGGGCUCCUGACUUUCAUUUUUACCACCCUUGUUCUUCAGGCGGGCUCCUGACUUUCAGUUUCAUCACCCUUUUUCUUCAGGUGGGCUCCUGACUUUUAAUUUUUAUCACCCUUAUUCUUCAAGUGGGCUCUUGACUUUUAGUUUUCAUCACCCUUGUUCUUCAAGCGGACUCCUGACUUUCAGUUUCAUCACCCUUGUUCUUCAGGCGGGCUCUUGACUUUCUGUUUCAUCACCCUUAUUCUUCAGAAGAGCACAUGACUUUUAAUUUUCAUCACCCUAUUCUUCAGCUGGCUCCUGACUUUCAAUUUCAUCACCCUCAUUCUUCAAGUGUGCUCCUGACUUUCAAUUUUUAUCUCCCUAUUCUUUGGGCGGGCUUCCGACUUUCAAUUUUUAUUACCCUAGUUCUUCAGGCAGGCUCCUAACUUUUAAUUUUUAUUAAAAGCUUUUGAGGAUGUCAAACCCAAUCAAAUAUUGAUUUAAAGGUCUUUCUUUGGUUGUAACUUUACUUUUGGAUAUGGUUUGAAAAAAAGGUUGACAUGAGGCCCAAACAACACUUGAAGUGGGGUAGGACUUACAACUUUUGGAAUUGACUCAAACAAUGAGGAUUAACUCAUGCCCCAGUUUUUUUAAUUGGGCAAUUCAAAAUUGUUUAUUUGGUUGGACCGAGUCUAGAGUAGACAGUCUACGUAUCUCACCUCCGGUAGAGAAGAAUCAGGUCACGCGUAGUUUUGACAGAUUGUUCUUUAUUUUGAUAUGAUUUUUCUCUUUUCUUUUUUUUAUUGACUCCUUUUCUCUUUAGGAUUUUCUUUUCUGACUCUAUUUUCCUUGACUCUCUUCUCUAUUCAUUCUUUUUGAACACAUUUUUUCUUUUUUUUUUAGAUUUUUGACUUUAUUUUUUCUCGACACUUUUUUUGAAACUUUUCAACUUCAUCUUGAUUCCAAAAGAGGGAUAUGAAAGAAAAUAGAACCAAAGAUCAAUAGGGUGAACAAUGGAUGACGCAAUGUUUGGAUAGCAGAAUAAAAUGCCUUCGUCAUAUCAAUCCUUGAAAAUACAAGUACACAUUAUGCAAUACGAAGUGAAAGAUGAAACCAUUUGUGACAUUUUCUUUUUAUCACUAACUUUAACUGAGCUUGUGCAUCUCUACUUCUUCUUCAAACUCCACCAUUGUCUUACAUUUCUCUCAUCGAAAGAUCCAUCCUUUCAUAGAGCUAAUCAUCUUCCAGUUUCUCUUAAUAUAGGGAUCACGCAUCCACUAUCUGACCUAAUCGAGCAAUGCUUUUCAAUUGAUGACCAAGUUAUUCUGAUAAUUCUCAAAAUAAUUGCCUUAGUUUUGAAAGAAGACUUCAAUAUGGUCACUAAUUUUCUUAACACGCUACCUAUUUCUCAGAUGUUGUUUCUAACUUUAGCCCUCUAAUUCAAAGUUCAUGCUCAAAUAGGAUGUUAAGAUCUAGCUGAAAAAUCUGCAAGCAUGUCAUAUCACUAAAGCCAACAUGAAAUAAUAUUAUGUGAAGAAAAUAAACAAACAACACAUGUUUAGAGCACAAAAGGAAAAAGGACACUGCAUUUAGUUAAAAUAAAAGAUAGAAGGGUUUGAACAUAAAUGACAAAGGGACAAAAUUAGAUAAAUCCCAGACUACAACCCUGAAAUAAUUCAAAUAUCAAAAAAUAAAACAAAACAAACUACUAAACAUCCAUCCUAGCAGGGAGAUGAGUGACUUCCCAAUUGAGGAGGCUGACAUCUUAGCCACUGGUUUGCACAUCAGCAUGACUAGAGCUUUUACCAUUGUUAAUGUUCUGCACCAUAAUCGAUUUAUCUUGAAUCAUCUUUUCUAUUUCUCUUUUCAAAGAACGACAAUCUUUAAUACUAUGCCCAUGAACAUCAGAAUGAUAUGCACAUCGUACAUUAGGAUUAAAACUUCUUGAAUGCAGAUCAAAAGUAUACCCAAGGAGAGGAGUGAUCAUGCCCCACUAUACCAAUCUCUGAAAUAAACUGGCAUAUGAUUCUUGUACUAAAUCUAAUAAUGCUUUUGAGUUCAACAUUGACUUUUAUGAGAGAUUACAAAAGAUGGGUAUUGUAUAACAACAUGGAGUUGAGUUUGUGAAAUUUUUAUUAGAUAAGGAUGCUAAGAAAUGGUGGAGGGUUAUCUUGAAUGUUGGUCACUGAUUUUAAUCCCAUUGAUAUAUUUUUGAUUUUAUAUUUUAUUUGUAGAGAAAUAAGAAGCUCGGUCCCUCCGUGAUCAUAAGAAGGAUGGUUUUUUGACAUUGGAGCAGGGUGAUAUAUCCGUUGCAGCUUAUGAUGCUAUGUUCUAUUCUUUGUCUCGCUAUGCCUCUCAGUUGUUGGCUACUAAGGAGGAAAGCAUUCGAUGCUAUGUUAAAGGUUUGAACUAUGAUCUUUAGGUUUUAUCAGUGCAUCUAACUUUAAUAAGGAAAGGGUUCAAUGAGGUUUCUAUUAUAUAAAUAAGUUAAAGGGAAUCACAUAACGUUUCAGGCCAAGAUAUUAGCUAAAAAGUUUGGCAAUGUUGGAAAUUUCAGCAAAUUUUAAUCCAAGGGCCACGGUCAGUAUCCCAAAGCAGCUCACCCUACUCUAUCAGCAUUGCAGCUUCUACUGUGGGUCAAGCUAAUGUCUCUUCUCUAUCAUAUAUAAUUAGGAGCCAAAGGACUUCUUACUCCUCUACUAGUCGACUUGCUCUCUAACGGGGAUAUGACUAUUAUGGCAUUGAUAGUCAUUUUAAGAGAGAGUGUUUGUUGAGGCAGGUAAAAGGCCAUGCACAUUAAUACACUUGGGCUAUAGUUUUAUCAGGAAAAAGAGGAGGAGGAAAUGGUAGGGGUCAUCCAUAGGGUGGUUAGGGAAAUUUGACAAGUGGUCAGAGUGGUCAAAGAAAUGGUAGUGCGGGGAAAGAAGUGCAUUCAGGAAGAGUGUUUACUAAGAAUUGAUGACCGGGCUCAUUGUUAUUUCUUUUUGAGCAAGAAUAACGCCAAGGCUUCUAUUGAGAUGAUCAUAGGUACCAUUUUUGUUUGUGACCAAAUUUAUAAUUUAUCUCAUGAAGGCUUGUAAUUUAAUCAUGGACUAAGACCCAACAAUAACAUGAACAUGAAUUCAAUUCAAUUCAAACUUAGAAGUUCAUAAUUCAACAAUCUUGUAAUUUGAAAAUGGAUUCAUGGACUCUAUGGGUGAAAGGAACCCAUAGAUGAACACCUAACACACCUUAGAAGAUUCUUUCUUGAAGUUUCUUGGAGUAAUUCUUAGGCUUGUUUUUGAUUUUCUUGAACUAGGGAUUUUACCUUUGAGAGAGAAUGUUUUUAAUUUGGGGAAAAAUAAGUGAAUAAUGAGAUAAUAAGGUAUUUAGGGGCUUAAUUUUUUGUUUAGAUUGAUUAGGGUUGUGAAAAAAAACCCAACUACCCCAGGGAAGAUUUAACACUUUGUCACUGAAAAAUCAGAUUUUUGGCCCUUGCAUGACACGGUGGAAUUGCGUUGCCCCUUUGAUUUUGAAUUUUUAACUCAGCGCGAUGCAGUAAAAUCGUAUUGGAAUAGUGAAAAAGGACGAUUUUGAAUUGUGCCUAUGGCGCGACGUGCCAGUAUUGCGAUGUACAACUGGAAAGUGAAAAUUUCCAUUUGUCAUGGCUCAGCAACGCGCUGACGUUCCAGGUGGUAUACUGUCUUACAAAAAUAGCUCUAACUAUUCACCCAGGUGUUAGAUUUGGGUCAAUUUUUUAUCAUUGGAAAGCUAAUUGAAUUUCCUAGGAAAUGGAAGGCUCUAAACUGAGAAAUAUUGAGUAUUUCAAAAAAUUUAUAUAGGAUUACUCAUGUACUAAGACUUAAAUUAUGCUUGGAAAAUACGAGGUAUUACAAUAUCUACCCUUUGGGAACUUUCAUCCUUGAAUAAGAGUAAUUAAGCCAAGAAACACUGAUAGACUGAGUUUACAUGCUGAACUUGUACAACUGAAACCUGACUACAUGACUGAAUUACUGACAAACUAAGUUUUCAUACUGAACAUGCAUAUCUGAUGCACAUAGAAUACAUGGCUGAAUCUGCUGGUAAUCUGAGUUUUCAUACUGAACAUGCAUAUCUGAUGAAUGGAAUACAUAAUUGAACUGAUUCAUGAAUGAAUGAUUGAAUAUGCAACGGUAAAGAAUAUCAAAUUUCUAACUGUAACUGAUUAUGGAACUGAGUAAAUCUAAGGAAGGUCGUUACCUUAGGCUGAGAAUACUAUUGAACUUGAGAUUAUUUACUGGACAUGCAUGAACAGGAACAUGAGAACAUUCUUGAGUUUAAAAGAAGAUAUAUAUAAACUAAAUGUCGUGAAUUGAAUUGAUUUCUUGGAAACAUGUCAUACGGAUGAGAUUGGAACUUGAGGGUCAACUUAUGAGUACCCAUUACUCCAAACUGGAUUUGUUACGUGAAGAGAAAUUUAAAGGUUUAGGAGACCAUAGUGCAUCUCACCCUUGGGAUAUUAGGUAGCCUAAAGAAUGCUAACUUGGCUGGGAUGCUGAGGAAAGGUUGAGAUGAUGCACGGGGCAUCUACGAAGUAAAUCUUGACUGAAUAUCUGAGAUCUAAAACUGAGGCAUGAUACAUGAACUGAGCUAAAUCCGCAACUACCAGGAAGUUCCAUUUUGGGAUAGGAUGAUAAGAUGGAAAGAUGGGAAACCAUAUGAAUUUGUCCGCCUGACUGCUAAACUGAAUUGCAGGCUUUACGGACUAACUCAUAUUGAAAAAAUUAUACUUAACUGGAGAAUUUCUUUGACACUCUUCCUAUAAUAUUCUAAUGACUUUAGGGAGUAAGAGAUCUUGGCAUUGUCAGAAUAAGACAUCAAAUAAGAAACCAUAACAUGGCCAAAAAUUCUGUAAUAUGGGAACUAAUAACCAUACCUACUUGGGUCAGAGCUGAACUGAAUUCUACCGCUAUGUUCAAGCCUACUCAAUUAUUUGUAUUACAUUUAUCCACUUACACAUCAAUGUGACAUUCAUGCCUAUCUUCAUAACUACAGCCCCAUGUAAAAUAAGAAUGCAACAAUUUUUUCUUAACAUAAAACAUUUACUUUCUCCUAUCAAAGCAUCUGCUUAUCACUACAUCAUUUCAUAAAGAUAGUUCACUGAAGGUUAAAACAUGAAGACCUGAAGCAUGAAUGGACACUAUGAUGAACUUGACACUUAACUGAGGCCUGAGGAAUCGAACAUCAAUAUCUUGGAUUUUAUCAAAAGGUCUAAAGUGAGGAUAUACAUGACGAAAUCUAAAUUUGGCUGAUCCUUUAGGAGUGUGUCAGGAGUCGUGGGAACUAAGCAUACUAUAAAGCAUGUGUACAUGAGUCAUGAGCUACAUGACCUGAGUUUGGAUUUUUUGUAUUCAUGGAACAUGAUUCGUUAUAUUAGGUGAACUAGAACUGCUCAUACUAGGAACUGUAAGUGUACCUGAUUUUUGAUAACGUGCCUGAAUAUGACCUAGGAUCAUAGAGCUGACAUGUAAGGUAUGGGUACUAACAUUACUGACAUUACUAUUAAAAUAUGAAAUCCUGACUUGGUUACUUAUAUUACCAUCUCCCCCUUAUCUUAAAGCCAUUAUUUUAAAGUUGUGAACCACUUAAUCAACAAAUCAAAACCGAAUUGUCACCACUUUAUUCUAGAGUCUGGGGAGGACACUGAGGAGGGCUCUACUAAUAUUUUAGGUCUAACACUGAAAUUUAUGGUUAUAUAGGGGUUACAAAGAAAGUAAGGCCUCAGGAUCUAACAAGGUAUAAAUAUAAAGAUGAAAAACUCAUAAUGUACCCGUAACUAUAUCAGGAGAACUUCCCUGAUCAUGGCGAGACUGGAGUGCAUAAAAUCUAUUUAGACGUUGCCCACUGGCAGCACUGGAAGCGGCACCCUGCUGGUUUGGGCGGUCAAAUUGAGCUGAAGGAUGGUUAUACUGACCCUGAGAACCUAACUAAGGACAAUCUCUGACUCUGUGGCCUGGCUUACCAUUCUCAAAAAAAGCAUCAUUGCCAGCUCUAUAUACUCCCUUAGGGUUCUUACCACAUUCACCAUAAAGCGGAUUAAUACAAACACCCUUCCCACAACCUUGUGACUUAGAGCCUGGUGCUUCAUCUCGACUAACAUUCUUAGACUUGGGUACUAGCACUCAGACUGAAAGCAUAUCUGGUGUUGAGAAUCUCUGAUGGAACUGGGAGCGGUUACUACCCCCUGAUCUUGGCUUAGAAUUAUUUGUUGUAGCCCUCUUAUUCUUUCUACACUCUCCUCCCUUACUCUGUUGAGUGCAAGUCUAAAUCCUAGAUAGGAAAAUAGUCUACAAAUUGUUCUGAGCAACUACUAAAUAAGCUAAGUUAGCAAAAACAUCUGUAAAUUCAAUGUGAGAGACAUGCUCAUUCAGGAGAUCUACCUGAACGGGUGGAGGAGCUAACUGGUUUUCAUUACUUCUUCCAUUAGCUUCUUUGGGAGGGAUAUUCUGGAAAGUUAAGGAAGAGUUGAAUCAGACUGAGAGUUUAACAUGAGCUCAUGCCCACUCGCACGUCAUGAAUACAGAAAGAAGGAAACUUUUCCUAAAAUAUCUCACAGCCCAGUCCAUAAGUGUGGCGCGCUACACACCCAUGCACAAUACUCAACACGAUCGGCUUUCAGACUCCCUAGGACUCUAUUGAACCUUAGUCUUUGAUACUGAGUUUGUAACACCUCGAGUCUUUACCCUAGAUGCUACACGAUGCUUACGACCCCAAAGGACCACAAGCUAACCCAUGACUGAUAUUUGCUGUGAGCACUGAAUAAUACUAGUGUAAAAUAUGAAAAAUAGGCUGGAAUGCCAUAAAGUUCAAAAUCUAAAAUACUGAUAAAUAACAACAUCUGAUAAAACAUCUAAAUCUGAAAUACUGUCUGAACUAAUCUAGUCUGAAAAGCCUCUAACUAAAUUAUCUAAAAGUAAAUCUGAUGGGACAAGCCCCCAAUGAACUUUAACCAAUGCAGUGCUAAAACUACUGUAAUACUAUAAUAAAAAUACAUCAUCGAUAGAUGAGGACUCACUACUAAAGCUGCUUCUGCUGACUGGAUCUGUCUAAGAACGGUCGGGAACCUGAGCAUCCAAACCUAAAAUAUGAGACAUCAUAGUGCAAAGAAAGAGUAUGCGCCAGUACGUGGAAUGUAAUAGUAUGCUAGAUGAGGUAAGGUUGAAUUCAAGGGUUCAUAUACAAUAUUGUGCUUAUAUAUACUGUAACUGAGCUUUUCUUAAGCUAAGUAAUGAGUUCUGAUACAGAGUUACUAAUAAUCAAAGAUUUUUGAUAACUAAGUUACUGAUACUGAUUGACUGUAUCUGGUAGUCCUAAUUCUGCAGAAUUGAACUGAGUUCUAUUCUAAAGACUAAAACUAAAAUAGUGGGAGGUAAUCAUCUAAUCGACAUGCCCCAAAUAAGAUAAUAUAACUAAGUUAGGGUCCAAUCUGUAACCCUAAUUAGAAGGGUGUUAGCAUCGUGCCAUGGAUACUACCAACUACUGUGGAGUCAGUUCUAACUAACGAGUGACCCCUGAGAUCAGUCCUAAACUAGCAGGUGAUUCCUGAGUAUGUCAGUCCUAUCUAACGAAUGACAUCUCAUAACCUAUAUAGGCUACGUAAUUUUGGAACUUAGGGAUUGCUUCUAGGGACCCAGUCCUAACUAACUGCUAAGCCCCUAUCCCUAGGCUCACUCGGUGCUUAAUACUACUCCCAACUAAAAGACACUAAACUGAUUAUACUGAAUUGGACUGGACUGAUACUGAGUUUACUGAGUUUUCCUGAGUUUAGUAACUGACUGAGUUCUACUGGGUUUUGUAACUGACUGAGAGUAUUACUGAUCAAAACAUGACUAACACUAUUUUGUAACUGACACUAGCUCUAGGUAAACAGCUAAAUUUUUGGGUAUUAAAUGCCUUUAAGAGUCGAUAGCAUGAAAAGGAAAGCAAAGCAUAAUCUUCAAUAACAUAAUAAUGUUCACUUGGUCAUAAUUCAUUCAUAGAGAUAUUUCAUCAAACACUUGUAAUGCAUUAACUUGUACAUCAAUAGGGAAUACAUGUUAGCAUGCUAUAAUGACAUUAUUUCAUUCUCAUAGAUAAUUUAUCAAACAAAUGAGAAGCAUACUUAUUUUACUAAAUUAUAAACACUUAGGGUAAACAUGGUUAUAACAAUCAACUUGCAAAUUGAAGGGUUUAUCAUGAAUAUCAUGUAAAUCAACACAUAUAAUGAUUUAUUUCAUGAAGUCUUGUAAUUAAAUCAUGUACUAAGACCACGAACAUGAAGUCACUUCAAUUCAAGUAUGGAAGUUCAUAAUUCAACAAUCUUGUAAUUUGAAAACAUAUUUGUCGACUAUAUAGGUGAAAGGAUCCGAUAGAUGAACAACUAACAUACCUUAGAAGAUUCUUUCUUGAAUGUUCUUGGGGUAAUUUAUAGGAUUGUUCUUGAUUUUCUUGAACUAGGGCUUUUUCCUCUUGAGAGAGAAUAUUUUUAAUUUAGGAAAGAAUGAGUGAAUAAUGAGCUAAUAGGGUAUGUAGGGGCUUAAUUUCAUGUUUAUACUGAUUAGUGUUGUGGAAAAAGACCCAACUACCCCUAUGAAGAUUUAAAAAUUCAUCACUGAAAAAGCAAAUUUUAGACCCUGGCGCGACGCGGCGCUAUCAUACCAUGUCACUGGAAAAUGACAAUUAGGAACUGGGGGCCUGGAGCAAUGCGGUGGAAUCACGUUGCCCCUUUGAUUCUGAAUUUUAAACUCAGCGCGACGUGGUAGAAUCGCAUUGUAAGACUAAAAAAGGACAAUUUUGAACUGAUUUUGUGGAAUGAUGCAUCAAUAUCAUGAUGGAGCACUGGAAAGUGACAAUUGCCAUUUGCCUUGGCUCCACGAUGCGCUGACGUUCCAGGUGGUACACUGUCUUAAAAAAUGGCUCUAACUCUUCACCUGGGUAUCAGAUUUGGGUGAAUUUUAUAUUAUUAGAAAGCUAAUUCAAUUUCCUACACAAUGAUAGGCUCUAAAAUAAGAAAUAUAGAGUAUUUCAAAAAUUUUAUAUGGGAUUACUGGUGUACUAAGACUUAAAUUAAGCUAUACGGGGUAUUACAAAGACCUUGGAAAAACAUGACUUAAUUUUGGUAAUAGUGGAUUGAUUGAUGAAAUCACCUAACAUCAGUUUGGGUAGACUACGGCUCCCAAAAAUUAGUAAAAGCUACGUCAAGGAGUUAGUAACGCUUCAUGGGGUGCCCCUAAUUAUCAUUUCCAAUAGAGAUGCAAAGUAUACUUCUAGAUUUUGCGAUAGGUUGCACGAGGAUUUGCAUGCAAAGCUGACCUUUUACAUGACUUUUCAUCCUCAAAUUCAUGGACAGUUAGAGAGAAUGAUUCAGGUGCUAGAGGAUAUGUUGAGUGCCUAUGUUAUUGACUUUAGAGGUAAUUGGGACUAGAUUUUUUCAUUGUAAGGGUUUUUAUACAAAAACAACUCCAACUCCAACUUAAACAUGGUACCAUUCGAGGCACUAUAUGAAAGAAAAUUUUGGGCACCUAUUAGGUGAUUUGAAACUAAAGAUGUUAAAUCUUUGGGCAUUGACUUUGUGAAGGAGGCUUAAGGAAAAGUAAGAUUUAUUCAAACUAUGUUGUUAGAUGGUCAAACUAGAGAAAAAGCGUAUGCAAACCAUUAGGUAAGAAAUAUGGAUUUCAUGGUUGGUGAACAAAUAUUGCUUAAGGUGUUUCCCAUGAAGAGAGUCAAGAGGUUUAGUUAGAUAAUAAAGCUCAGCCCUUGGUAUAUUGGACUUUUAAGAUUCUUUAUGAUGUGGGUCUGGUUGUGUACCAUUUAGCAUUAUCUCUAGGUUUGUUAGGAUUCAUCUGUAUUCUCAAAUGGUUUCAUAGGGAUAGAUAUUAUAUUAUUAAAUAGGACUCGAUUAUAUUAUAUAAUGAUUUGGCUUAUGGGGAAGAAUCAGUGGCAAUUAUAAAUUGAGAUAAUUAGAAGUUGAGGAGAAAGGAAAUUUCUUUGGUUAAGGUUUAAUAGAAAUGUCAUCCAAUUAACGAAUCCACUUGGAAAACCUAUAAGGACAGGUAAGACAAGUACCCUCAAUUGUUUGGGAAUACAAGCACUCUCUUUUUCCUUAUCUCAGCUUAUUUUUACAUUUCACAUUUGAUCGUUUGGGGACAAAAUAUAGGUAUAUUGGUAUCUAUUGUCAUGGGAUAUUUUGUAGUUUUGUAUAAGUCUCUUAUUUAAAUUUUCAUGCUACAAUUGUUCUCAGAUUUAAAAUUAUAAAUUUUAGGCUAGUAUAGUUUUUGAUGAAAUCUGAGUGAGGUAUGGUCUAGGAAAAAUCAGGAAUUAAUUAUGUAAGUGUGGUGGAGUUCAACUUUAAUUUUAGUUAACUAAGAGGAUAAGAAUCUUGUAGGAUUUUACAAAAUUAAAUUUGGGUUAGUAAAACUCCCAAAAUUAAUCUUAGCAUAAAGGGUAUUAUUUGGGAUAUCUUACAAUUAAUGUAUGUUAUGAAAAAGAGGAGUUGUGGGGGAACCAGGCACUCUACCUUUCUCAUGUCACUAUAUCAAUAUGCAUGUCACUAUAGAAAUAUACCCAAAAGUAGAGAAAAUCCCAUUUUAUCAUCAAAUCAAACUGGUUAACGACCGUUAUAGCGACAUGUGCCACUAAAGCGACAUAUGGCGCUAUAUCUACAAAUAUAGUUGUUUUAUUUUUGAAAUUCUCAAAAAAUAGUUUAUUUUUUCAAAAACACAUGUUGGGGCAAGAAAGAGGCAAGUUUGGGCCAAAGUCACCAAUUAUCUAUUAUUUGGCUUCAUUAGGUAAGAAUUUUAUUCCUAUUAACUAGUAAAUUAAUAAUAUAGCCUAAGAAUUUCUAGUUUACGUAGUUUGGGGAAGGUUAAGGGUUGAUUUUAUGUGAUUUUAUGAUGCAAGGUAGAAAUUUUAUUAUAAAAUCAAGGGGUUUUGGUUAAUGAUCAUUACAUGUUGUUUAUUUACCAAUUUAUCUAUAAAAUUGGUCGUUUUAGGUGAAUUAUGGUAGAAAGGCCCUAGAACGGGGAGGAAAUGAUCAUGAACUUAGCCUUAGGGGUUGAGUAUGAGCUAUAAUCCCCAUAAUGGUUGGUCAUUUCAUUAAUUAUGUGUUCAUAUGUAUUUCUAUACUGAGAUCAAUCAAAAAUUAAACAAAAAGGCAAGGCUCAAGUUUAGUGAGUUGUGCAAGCUUGGAUUAAGGUUGGUGAUUGUAUUAUAGUUAACACCAAUUUAUAUUAUAUGUGCACAUUAACUACAUCUUAGUAUGUCUUCUUAGUGUAUGUUGUUUGGUGUGUUUAAUUAAAAUGAAUUUAUCUUAUUAUAUAAUUUGACCUACCUUAUUCUUAAAUAGGGAAUCUUUUGAUAUUUAGAACAUUCUUAUGGCUUAUAGGUGGAAUAAGGUUGGCCGACACUUGUGUCUGAGAUUUAGGUACAUUGGUGAAAUUUGUCCCCUGCAGGUCAUGACUAAAGGGUACUUAUCAUACCUUUAACGUGUAUGUAUGAGGUUACCGUGAGUUUUAUAGUUCAAUAAGUUAACCGAAGAAUAUAUUUAUAUGUUUGAUAAUGUUUAAAUUGUCGUGACUUCUUUUAACUUGGAUUUAUUGAACAUGACUUGGUUGUAAAUGGAUUGACUUAUUUCUUGUAAUCCUAAGUUGCUUCAUUGUUACUUAUUGUGUUAGUUGUAGGUUAGGAUGAGCAUGGAGUAACUGAUUGUACUAUGUUUUGGUUAAGUAUGCAUAUUCUCAUCUUGGUUUGGCCAAAUGACCCUAUCAGUACACUAUUGUUUCUUGAUUACUAAUAAUACACAUGCUCUUUCUUUUGUUGAAUGCAACAUAUAUUUCAGCGGCUCCUGCAAGAUCUCACUUGUGAUUCUAGAGUUUGAUAUGAAAUUUAGGGGUGAGCAGCAUAUUUGGGCCACCAUUAAAUCUUUAUUUUAUGAUAUUAUUUUUGUUAGAACUGAUGCAUCUCCCUUAUUUAUUUGGGAUUUCUCCUUUCCUUGACAUCCUAGAAAUUUGACUAUUUUCUUUUCUUUUGAAGUUUUUUAUGCACCCUAGACUUUCAAGGACCUUGCAUGUUUUUCUUUGGAAUCUUCAAACUUGAAUCUUAUUUUGUAAUAUAGACAUCUUCAGUGCACUCAACAAGUAGGGACAAAAGAGGGAUAGAGUUUGUAAGAACUCAGAGGGUUAUAGGCUAUGAUGGGGUUGUCCAAUGAAAAGGCUUUAGGCUCGGAAGGGACAUACUGAGGAUUAAUAUCAUUUUUCCGGUAUUUAAAGGCACAAAGAGAUCAAAGAAGGCUUAAAUUCCUUUCUCAAACCAGAUAUUACACAGAAUUUCACCUUAACAAACAUUUGGGCCAAGUAUAGAUCAACAGUGCAAUGCAAUUGAAUUUAAUCUAAUAACUCACCAUACAAUGCACAUAAAACAAUGAGGUUGGUAUUAUUUUUACCUUGAAUGCAUGCAAGAAAAGUCUUUUGACUAUUACCACAGUAUGAAAGAGAGGUACCAAAAAAAACUAAGGUUCACCACAAAGUUAAGCCUCUCAAUCAUAUCCAUUAUCGCUCAUGCUUCUAUUUAUUUUGGUAUGAACAAAUCCAAUAACAUGAUUCUAAUAAUUUUAUUAUUUUUUAUAAAUAAGGAAUACUAAACUCAUGAAAGGCUUCCUAUGUAUCUCAUCCCGAAGAUUAAGAAUUUAGUGAGUAUAGUUUUUGCAAAUAUGAUGUAUAAUAUAUGAACAAAAAUAAUGAAUACAAAUAUAUAGAUAAACUCAAAGAAAUGCCUCAUAUUGUCUGGUCUCAACCGAUGUCUUUAUCUAAAUAAUAUCGCCUAAUUAUUUAUAGGGACAACAUAUUGUAAUACCCCGUACUUCUACUUAGCUUGAAAUCGUUCCAAGAAUGCUAGAAACUUUCUUUGCAAGAUGAAUCCACUUUUAUACUUGUGAUAUUUCUAAGAUUUUCACUUUCUAUCAUGUGUGAAAUUAAAUUAACUUUCCAACGAUACCAAUUUUAUCCAAAUCCAACAUUGAAAAAAAAAGUUAGGGACAAAAAAUAGAAGGCAGUCAAAAUCGCCUAGGUUUGACGGUGAGAACCGAUGGACCAUUGAGCUAGCGACGGACCUUUGCCCAAGCCAUCACAGUGGAGGAAAUGAGACUACCUUCUACCUAAGAAAAACGGCUAAGACCAACGGACCAUCGAGCUAGUGAUGGACCAUUGCACAAGCCCUCGCACGAGAGGCAGUGAACCCCUAAUCUGAUCAGGUGUGACAACCAGGACCUACGGACCAUCGAACCAGCGAUGGACCAUCACACCCACCGUCAUAUAGUUUAUUUAUUUAUUUUAAUAUUUUUAAAAAGGUUAUUUGCAUUUUUUCCACUCGUUUUAACCCCUAAUUAUAUUAGACCAAGGUUCAUAAGUUCAUUAUCCAUCUACAACAUCAAAUUAGCAUUUUCUCUCAAACAUAAUCCCCAAGAACAAGAUCCAAAUCAUUCUUCAAGAAACUAAGGGAUUCCAAGUUCUUCAAGUCCAAGAACUUCAACAAACUCACAACCCAGGUAUGUCAUGUAUUGAUUCAUGGGUCCCUUUCACCCAUGAAGCCCAAGAAUCUCUUUUCAAAAAACAAGAUUUGUGUAUUUAUGAAUGUUCAUGAUUUAAAUUGAAUUGAAAUUCAUGUUCAUGAUGUUGUGGAGUUUUGAUUCAUGUUUGAAAUUACAUAUUCCAAUGAUUGACCCUAGGAUAUGAUGAUUUGCAUAACAAUCAUGAUAAACCCUUAAAUUUACAUGUGGAUGGAUGUAUCCAUGAUUAUUAGAUGUGUUGAUAAUUGUAUAACCAAAGUAUGCUUCCCAUGUAUUUGAUUAAAUGCCUAUAUGAAGGAAAAGUGCCAUAAUAGUAUGAUAAUAUGAAAUCCCCAUUCAUGUACAAGUUCAUGCAUGUUAAGUGUUUGAUAAAAUAUCUUAGUCAAUGAAUUAUGGAUAUAUGUGUAGCCAUUGUGCUGCUUUAGCACUUGUACUUCAUGAAAUCUCCAUCUUAUUAUAAUAUGGAUUGUCGAUGUUGGUCAUGUAUUCAAAAAAGUCAUGCUUUGUCAGUUUCAUGCUAUCGAGUCCUGAGGGUACUUGUACCUGACAAUUAGUUGUGUUCCCAGAGCUAGUGUCAUGUUUUCAAGAUACUCUCAGUCAAGCCAUGUUCAUAAAAAUUCUGUCAGUCAUGUGACUCAGGAAAACUCAGUAAACUCAGUAAUCUCUGAAAUAUCAUAAAUCUAGUAAUCUUAGUAGCAUUCCAUUAGUCUAUGGAAAUUCAGUUAACAUAGUCCAAUCAGUUCAGUGUCUAUUCAGAUGGGAGUAGAAAGUAGCAUCGAGCGAACCCAAGGAUGGAAACCCACUUGUUAUAUGAGGGUGUAAUUCUUAGAAGAAAUCCCUGCGUUCCAGAACUACAUAGCUAGCAUAGUUUAAGACAUUGUAGCCUAUUAUAUGAAGGUAGAUGAGGUGUAUUAACCUGUUAUAUAAGGGUUCCCACUGUUCUAACUAGAGUUACCUGUUAUAUGAGGGUUACUCACAGAUUGUCCUUACUAGUGGCAUGGUAUUGACACCCUUCUAAUUGGUAGUACAGAUUGGACCCCAAGUUAACAUUAAUGUAUUAUUUGGGGCAUGUCGAUUAGAUAACUACUUCCCAUAGUUUCAUUACAGAAUUAGGAUUGUCAGAUGCAAUCAACUCAGAACAGUACAAAACUCAGCUAGUUCCAUCAAAACUAUGACUGUCAAAUAUAGCCAUUCAGUCUUAGUAAUAAAACUUAUAUAGUUCUAUAAUAUUCAAGACUAUCAGAUACAGUCAACUCAAAAUAGUACAAAACUCAGCUAGUUCCAUCAGAACCUAGACUGUCCGAUACAUUCAUUCAGUCUCAAUAAUUGAACUCAGAUAGUUCUAUAGGAUUCAAGACUGUCAGAUACAAUCAAAUCAGAACAGUAUGAACUCAGCUAUUUCCAUCAGAACCUAGACCAUCAGAUACAGUCGUUCAGUAGCAAUUAUUUCAGUUAUACAGAUAUCAAUAUCUCAUGUUAUCAGCACUCCCACUUAGUAAUUAUAUUAUCACGAGCUCACUUAUAAUUAUUAUAUAGUCGUGCAUAUAUUCUGACAUUCAUGUUAUGCAGUCAGUUAGUGUAGUUCAUACAUAAGAACCCUUUUACGUUCAACCUACCACACAUACAUACCAGUAUAUUCAAAUGUACUGACGCAUUUACACUAUGGUGUUUUAUACCAUAGAUUCAGAAUCAUGAGCUCUAGAGUAUCAGUAGUUUUCUAGUCUCAGCAGUUAGAGUUAGCAGUGAGUCCUUAUCCUUCGAGGACAUGACCAUUACUUUAUUAUCUCAUUAAUUAAUUUAUUUCAGUAGUUGGAGUUACUUGGGGACAUAUCCCAUCAACUCCUUAUUCAGACAGUUCAGUCAGUUAGAGCCUUUUCAGACUAUCAGGUUCAGACAAUUUAUUUCAGGUUUUGUUUUAGUAUUGUGAUACCAUAUCAUUCAGAGAUUAUUUUAUUAUUUUUGAACCUUAUGGCCUUAUAGCCUUUAUUUUCGCAUUUAUAUGGUAUAUUAUGCAGUGCUCAGGUACAGAUAUCAAUCAUGGGUUAGCUUGUGGUCUUUCGGAGUCAUGUGCACCGUGUAGCAUUUCGAGUACCAGAUUCGGGGCAUUACAAACUUGGUAUCAGAGCCUAAGGUUCAAUAGAGUCCUAGGAAGUCUGAAAGCCACAUCUAGUAGAGUCUUCUACAUGGGUGUGUUGCACGCCACAUUUAUGUGCAGGAGGCUAUAAGAUAUUUUAGGAAUAGCUUCCCUUCUUUCAGUAUUCAUGUCGUGCCAGUGAGCAUAAUCUCAAGUCAAUCUCUCAGUCUAAUCCAUUUCUCUCUUUCUUCUAUAGAACAUUCCUCCUACAAAAAGAAAUGGGAAACUUGACAUGUGGCCCAAGUGACACUUGAAGUGGGGUAGGACUUACAACUUUUGGAAUCGACUCAAACAGUGAGGAUUAACUCAUGCCCCAGUUUCUUUUGACUGGGUAAUUCUAAAUUGUUUAUUUGGUUGGACCGAGCCCAGAGUAGGGCAGGCUACGUAUCUCACCCUCGGGAGAGGAGAAUCAGAUCACACUUAGUACUGACAGAUUGUUCUUUAUUUUGAUAUGAUUUUUCUCUUUUCUUUCUUUUUUUUAUUGACUCCUUUUCUCUUUAGGAUUUUCUUUUCUGACUCUAUUUUCCUUGACAAUCUUCUCUUUUCUUUCUUUUUGAACACAUUCUUUCUCUCUUUUUAUUUUGGAUUUUUGACUCCAUUUUUGCUCGACACAUUUUUUGAAACUUUUCAACUUUAUCUUGAUUCCAAUAGAGGGAUAUGAAAGAAAAUAGAACCAAUGCUCAAUGGGGUGAACAACGGAUGACACAAUGUUUGGAUAGCAAAAAUAAAAUGCCUUCGUCGUAUCAAUCCUUGAAAAUGCAAGUACACAUUAUGCAAUAUGAAGUGAAAGAUGAAAACCAUUUGUGACAUUUUAUUUUUAGCACUAACUUUAACUGAGCUUGUGCGUCGCUACUUCUUCUGCAAACUCCACCAUUGUCUUACAUUCCUCUUAUCGAAGGAUCUAUCCUUUCAUAGAGCUAUUCAUCUUCCAGUUUCUCUUAAUAUAGGGAUCGCGCAUCCACUAUCUGACCUAAUCGAGCUAUGAUUUUCAAUUGAUGACCAAGUUAUUCUUAUGAAUCUCAAAAUAAUUGCCUUAGUUUUGAAAGAAGACUUCAACAUGGUCACCAACUGUCUUAACAUGAUACCUAUUUCUCAGAUGUUUUUUCUAACUUUAGCCCUCUGAUUAAAAGUUCAUGCUAAAAUUGGAUUUUAAGAUCUAGCUGAAAAUCCACAAGCAUGUAAUAUCACUAGAGCCAACAUAACAUGUAUUAUGUGAAGAAAAUAAACAAACAACACAUGUUUAGAGAACAAAAGGAAAAGGGACACUGCAUUUAGUUAAAAUAAAAGAUAGAAGGGUUUGAACAUAAAUGACAAAGGGACAAAACAAGAUAGAUCCCAGACUACAACCCUGAAAUAAUUCAAAUAACAAAAAAUAAAACAAAACAAACUACCAAACAUCCAUCCUAGAAGGGAGAUGAGUGACUUCCCAAUUGAGGAGGCUGACAUCUUAGCCACUGGUUUGCACAUCAGCAUGACUAGAGCUUUCACCACUGUGAAUGUUCUACACCAUAAUCAACUUAUCUUGAAUCACCUUUUCUAUUUCUCUUUUCAAAGAACGAUAAUCUUUAAUACUGUGACCCUAAAUGUCAGAAUGAUAUACACAUCGUACAUUAGAAUUAAAACUUCUUGAAUGCGGAUCAGGAGUAUACCCAAAGAGAGUAUUGAUCAUGCCCCACUGUACCAAUCUCUGAAAUAAACUGGCAUACGACUGUCCAAUUAGUGUGAAACUAUAUGUGAAACUAUCUCUACACUUCUGUCUCUUCUCAAUAUUUGAUUUGGAUUGAACAUCGGGCCUAGAAGGUCUUUGGUAUAUUUGUGGAGUUGGAGGAUGACUCUAAGGAGUUGGUGCAUACCAUUGUGAGUAAGAAGGGAGUUAAACAUAUGGUUGCACGCAAUAUACUAGAUAUGGAGGUGGGGAAAUCGAGUAUAAUAGAUUUGGGGAGGGAUUACAGAGAGCUUGGGUAUGAACUUGUGCAUAAGACUGAUGAUAAUGACGAGGUGGUCUUCUUCUAUGUGCUCGUUGUCCAACUAUAAUAUCAAGUUUAUCUUUCUCAUCCUUCUUCCUUCCAGUUUUCAUAACUUGAUUGCAAUAUUUUCCCAAAUGUUUCACGGAUUUAUCAUGUCCAUCUUGCUCCUAAAAUUUCAACAUCUCAAGGAUUGGAGGAAGGUUAACACUUGAAUACAUGCCCCAGUCUUUGUAUGAAACAUCUUUUUUACCCGUAGGUCCUAGGGAACUUUUCAUAGCCUUUUCUGCACUCUUCAUUUUUUCAACCAUUUUUCCUGGCUCUUCUGACAUGCUAGACUUCUUGUUAAGAAAUUUUUUGGUCCAGUUAACUUAAAAGUAGGCUCAGGAGUAUAGCAAUGAUCAGCAAGAGUAUUUAACAUGGAUCCACUAGUUGCAUAGGGAAGCACAACCAUUGGCGGCUAGCUAAUGUGGUUGUCUACACAGAGGAUUGAGCAACAAAAUCACAGAAGGUAUGUGAUGCUAUGAAUAUGGUAGGUUUAUACUGAGGAGUUAAUAAACAGUGGUGGAAGUAUUGAAAUUCUUUUGGCUUGUAAUGAAUUCUGAGUCAUGUUACAGUGCAUCAACAAUAAUGGGAAACUGACUUUACGACUUUAGUAGAAAACUUGAGGUAUUUGUAGGAUCAAUAGCAGAAAAUGGAAAGGGAGGCAACCCACUGGCCCAAGAUCAAUACAUUUCCAUCAUUUUCUAUCUUAGUCUCAAAUUCUCUUCCUUUAAACUCUCAUUUUCCUGACUCUUUAUUUGAUCCAUGAGGUUACUCUCUAUAUCCUUGUUGGACAAAGCUAAACCUUUCUAAGAUUUGGUGUGAUGUGGAGCACCAGCUACAAUGUCACAAUUCCAUAAACCAACCACCUUGAACUAACUAAAUAAGAGAUAACAAACGUGUUAGAGUUAAACACUUUCUCAAAACCUUUUUCUUUUUCUUUUCUUUAGAAAAGAUCACUGAACCCAAGAAGGGCGCCUAUAUAUCUCACUCUCGAGAGAGGUGAAUCAAGUGUACAUAAUUUGUGAAGCUUGGCCACAAAAGGGCUAAAUUUUAAGAAGAAAAGAAAAUAACAAUUUGUCAAAAGAAUUGACGAAAAUCUUUUUAAAUUUUUCAGCUUUAACAUCCCUAUACAAAAUGAAAUCUAUGAUUGCCAAAGAAAAUCUUUUUGGGUUUUUGAUUUUUAAUUUCAUAUGAAAAUGAAACUUGAAGCUAUUAAAGGAAAAUCUUUUUGUAGUUUUCUUUUAAAGAUGAACAUAACAUCUACUCUAAAUGAAGAGUGAAGAAAAUAUUUUUGGAUUUUUCAGAUUCCUAUACGAAAUGAAACCUAUGAAUACCAAAGAAAAUCUUUUUGGGUUUUAGAUUUUGAAUUUCAGAAGAAAAUGAAACUUGAACUUAUUAAAGGAAAAUAUUUUUUGUUGUUUUCUUUUAAAGAUGUAUAUGAAACACCUACUCUAAUAAAGAGUUAAAAAAAUCUUUUUGGAUUUCUUUAAAUAAGAUCACCGAACCCUAGAAGGGCUGCCUACGUUCUCACUGUCAAAAGAGGAGAAUCAGGUGUGCGUAGUUCAUCCAAAUUGGAUAAUUAAAGAUUAAAUAAUAAACUAAACCUUGACUUGAGAAACAUGACCAAAGAUAGACAAUGAAAAAAAACACGGCAAUAAAAUCUUUUUGAGUUUUUAAUUUUGACACUUCAUAUAAAAAUGAUACCAACAACUAUGAAAGAAAUUUUUUUUUGGUAUUUUUAUUAUAUGAAAUGUAAAAAACUCCUACCAUCUUUUGAAUUUUCCUUUUAUAAAUAGUUUCUAUUUAAAAAAAAAAUAUUUUAGGAGUUUUCGAAUUGUGAAUACUUACUAAAGGAACAAAAGGAAAAUCUUUUUGAUGUUUUUGUUUUUUUAAGAAAACGAAUGCAAAAUGUAAAACUCUUUUUGAAUUUUUGAAUUGUGAAAAACAAAAGUCAUAAAGAACUCUAAACACUACAAAACUCUUUUUUUGAUUCACCUUUUUUUUUGAAUUUUUCUUGCCUAAACACAUACUCCUUUAAUUCUAACAAAUGUUUUCCCUAAACCAGUAUAAAGAUGCAAUAAUUAACACAUAGGGAUGCUUUAGGGGUGAGUCUUCUACAAAGGACCAAGUGGGUCCUACUAGGUCUCAAUAUGAUGCAGAUAAGCAUGACCUAAAGGUUGACCUAUAUUGGGGUCCACUAACAAUGUCGUUCGGGGGAGCAUAUGGUCGAUAGUGGCUGCUUUGCUUUCCACCUACUCCAUAUAUCCGAUGGUGCUCCCUCCUAAAAUAAGGGUGACGCAGCUACAGUUCAUGUACACGACGUGUACUCCGAGACUUAUUGCAGAAAGAAUUUCAAUGUUGUACACGACUUGUCAUCCCAUGGCUCUGCUUCCCUUACUUGAUUGCAAUAUUGUCCCAAAUGUUUCACGGAUUUCUCAUGUCCAUCUUGCUUCUCAAAUUUCAAUAUCUCAAGAAUUGGAGGAAGGUUAACACUUGAAGACAUGCCCCAGUCUUUGUAUGAAACAUCUUCUUUACCCGUAGGUCCUAGGGAACUUUUCAUAGCCUUUUCUGCACUCUUCAAUUUUUCAACCAUUUUUCCUGGCUAUUCUGACAUGCUAGACUUAUUGUUAAGAAAUUUUUGUGGUCCAGUUAACUUAGAAGUAGGCUCAAGAGUAUAGCAAUGAUCGGCAAGAGUAUUGAACAUGGAUCCACUAGUUGCAUAGGGAAGCACAACCAUUGGCGGCUAGCUAAUGUGGUUGUCUACACAAAGGAUUGAGCAACAAAAUCACAGACAGUAUGUGGUGCUAUGAAUGUGGUAUGCUUAUACUAAGGAGCUUGAUAAAGAGUGGUGGAAGUAUUGGAAUUCUUUUGGGUUGUAAUGAAUUCUGAGACAUGUUACAGUGCAUCAACAAUAAUAGGAAACUGACUUUGAGAUUUUGGUAGAAAACUCGAGGUAUUUGUAGGAUCAAUAGCGAAAAAUGGAGAGGGAAGCAACCCACUGGCCCAAGCUUGAUACAUUUCCAUCAUUUUCUAUCUUAGUCUCAAAUUCUCUUCCUUUAAACUCUCAUUUUCCUGACUCUUUAUUUCAUCCAUGAGGCACUCUCUAUAUCUUUGUUGGACACAGCUAAACCUUCCUAAGAUUUGGUAUGAUGUGGAGGACCAUCUACAAUGCUGCAAUGCCAUCAACUAACCACCUUAAACUAACUGAACAAGAGAUAACAAACGUGUUAAAGUUCAACACUUUCUCAAAACCUUUUUCUUUUUCUUUUCUUUGGAAAAGAUCACUGAACCCAAGAAGGGUGCCUAUGUAUCUCACUCCCGAGAGAGGAGAAUCAAGUGUGCAUAGUUCGUGAAGUUUGGCCACAAAAAGGCCAAUAAAACUCUUUCAUUUUUUUUUUGAAAUUUUAAGAAGAAAAUAAAAUAACAAUUUGUCAAAAGAAUUGAUGAAAAUCUUUUUGAAUUUUUCAGCUUUAACAUCCCUAUACAAAAUGAAAUCUAUGAUUACCAAAGAAAAUCUUUUUGGAUUUUUGAUUUUUAAUUUCAUAUGAAAAUGAAACUUGAAGCUAUUAAAGGAAAACCUUUUUGUAGUUUUCUUUUAAAGAUGUAUAUGACACCUACUCUAAAUUAAGAGUGAAGAAAAUCUUUUUGGAUUUUUUAGAUUCCUAUACGAAAUGAAACCUAUGAAUACCAAAGAAAAUCUUUUUGGGUUUUAGAUUUUAAAUUUCAUAUGAAAAUGAAACUUGAACCUAUUAAAGGAAAAUCUUUUCUGUUGUUUUCUUUUAAAGAUGUAUAUGAAACACCUACUCUAAUAAAGAUUUAAAAAAAUCUUUUAGGAUUUUUUGAAAUAAGAUCACCGAACCCUAGAAGGGCUGCCUACGUAUCUCACGCCCGAAAGAGGAGAAUCAGGUGUGCGUAGUUUGUCCAGAUUGGAUAAUUAAAGAUUAAAAAACAAACUAAACCUUGACUUGAGAAACAUGACCAAAGUUAGACGAUGGAAAAAAACACGGCAAUAAAAUCUUUUUGAGUUUUCAAUUUUAACACUUCACAUAAAAAUGACACCAUCAACUAUGAAAGAAAUUUUUUUUUUGGUAUUUUUAUUAUAUAAAAUGUACAAAACUCCUACCAUCUUUUGAAUUUUCCUUUUAUAAAAAGAUCCUAUUGAAAAAAAUAUAUUUUUGGAGUUUUCGAAUUGUGAAUACUUACUAAAGAAACAAAAGGAAAAUCUUUUUUAUGUGUUUGUUUUAUUAAGAAAAUGAGUGCAAAAGGUAAAACUCUUUUUGAAUUUUUGGAUUGUGAAAAACAAAAGCCAUAAAGAACACUAAAAACUACAAAACUCUUUUUUGAUUCACUUUUUUUUCGGAAUUGUUCUUGCCUAAACACACGCUCCUUUAAUUCUAACACAAGGACCAAGUGGGUCCUACUAAGUCUCAAUAUGAUGCAGAUAAGCAUGACCUAAAGGUUGACCUACGUUGGGGUCUACGAACAAGGUUGUUCGGGGGAGCACUUGGUCGAUAGUGGCUGCUUUGCUUUCCACCUACUCUAUAAAUCCGAUGGCUCUCCCUCCUAAAAUAAGGGUGACUCAACUACAGUUCGUGUACACGACGUGUACUCCGAGACUUAUUGCAUAAAGAAUGACUCGGGUUAUGCACAUGAUGCUAGAUAUAAAGCGGUAACACAUAAAAAAGUAUAAACAUGUAUCACGUAGGCACUCAAUAAUGAUAAAGUAGUAACACAAACACUAAUACAAGCAAUGUUUAUACACCUACAAUGUCAAACUAAGCCGAUACAACUCCAAAAAAUAAGCUCGAAUUCUAAAAAAUCCUCAGCAGAGUUGCCAGAGCUGUCACACCUAUUUUUAUACCAAAAAGAUUCAGCUUUUAAGUUUGAAAAGGGUUUUUAUUAUUAAAGUAAAAAAAUAAAGAUUUGCUUCAAAAAAAAUUCAUUUCACAAUUAAAUUUAGAGUCGCCACUUGGCAUAAUCAAGUGUGCCAAGUCACCUUUGAAAAAUCAUUUUUAAAAUGAUUUGACUCUUUAAACUGAUUUGCAAACAGAGAUUAAGAAAUUUUGUUGACCAAGGAGAAGGUGUCAAGAACCCCUCGAUCCCGUGCUUCAACCACGGUCUCUUGGUGAAGUGUAUUGGCAAGUAAGUCACUAUGAAUAUAUAAACCCACAAAAGACACAUAAAACAAGCAAACAAACACAUCAAACAAUAAUCCAAAAAACCAAAAUAAUAAUGUCCAGUCCAAUAAUACAGUCUUAAAUAAAUAAAAUCGAAAAAAUGUGAAUAAUAUAAAUCUUAUUCUAAACUAGUCCUAGACUAAGAUCCACCCAAUGCCUCAGUCCUUCGACACAAAUAUCCUCCGAAUACAAAAUACUUUGAGGCAUUCCCCGACGAAUAAACACAAAUAUCUCGGGGCAUUCCCUGGCCCAAUGAUACAUUUAAUCCAAAUAGCAAACUAAAACCAAACCAUUCAUCAUAUUUCAUAUUCAAAUAUUCAACAAAAUCAUUUAAUCCUAAAAUUUUGCCUACUCGGAUUUACAUUUGCCUAUCCGCUUCAACAUAUCAUAAUUCUACCACGUUCCAACAUAAUUCAUGCUUAUUCCAAAUUAAACAAAAACAACAAUGAACCAAAAUUGAACUUCAUUCACCCUUCUCACCAAUUUCUCAAUUCCAUCCCAAACAACCAAUUUUACUUUUCAAACGAGAUUUCAUUUUCAUUUCACCAUCUAAACCAUAAUCAAGGGAAUCAACCGUAAAUCAAAACAAACAUGCAUUCAUCACCAACAAGGAUCAAACAAUAAUAAUAUUCAAUCCAAAAAUAGCAAAAUAUAGUAAAUAAUAAAAUAAAAGAGGUAAAGAGUAGAAUUGGACCUUCUGAUAAUUUGCUUUUGUUGAUAAUGAUAUUUAAGAGAACCUGGAUUUAGAAUCCCGAAUAGAAACCUACACAGCGAACCCAACUCGUAUCAAUAAAUAAUGACCCGAAUGGAUUUGAAUCCCAAGAAAGAAGAAGUAGCACUCAAAUCGAUAUCAAAAUCAUGAAAAUUUAAGAAAGCCCGUAUCCAAGAUUUUGAAACACAGACAAACAGAUCGAAAAUCAAGUUGUUACCGAAGAAAAUUGAGAAAAACCGUGGGAGAUAUCGCUGUAUUUUUUACUAGAUCUCACCGGAGUCGUCUUGUUUGAUCGCUGCUCUGUAUUUCGCAGUGAUGGAGACCAAUUUGCAGCUUCGAUGAUGCCUAAAUCCGUCGAACGAACAUUAAUUUCAGCAACUUUGAAAUUAAAUCGAUCGAACAACGACUACAAACCAACUCCGACAAAAUUUUGCCAAAAAAACAAAAGAGAUGAUCGGAUUUCUCAAAAUUACUUCAUUCUCGACCCUUUUUUACAGUGUGUGCGCGUGUUUGCAGGUAUUAUGAGGAUUGUGAAUAUGGAUUCUCAGAAUUGCUGUUGGAAUCAUGAGUAUAUGAGAUGAGUGUGUGUAUAUUCUAUUAUUGAAAGAAAAUGGAGCCGCUACUCCUCUAUUUUUUGAUCUUCAAAAGAAAAAAAAUGGAGAUGAGAAUGGUUACCCCAAACAAUGGAAAAGCUUCUAUAUAUUAAUGGUAUUUCCUUUUAUUCCCCCCUCAAUGAAUUGUGUCCAUUGCUCUUAAAGGAAAAAAAUGACAAAAGUGUGAGUUUUUUAGGGGUGGGGACCACGUAGGUAGUGAGGUAGGGUAGGAAGUGAGAUGGAUGAGGGGCGUGAGUUAGUUGAGAUAAAUUUUGUUAGGAUAAGAGAAUAUUAGGGAUUUGAUUUGUUAGGGAUUUAUUGAAAUUUUAUUAUUUUUUUGUAUUUUUGUGGGGUAUAAUCGCAUGGGUGAGGGUGUAUGAUAAUGUGAGAUGGAAAAUGGAUGAAUUGGGUUUUAGAAGGGAGAAAAUUAGAUGUCUGCACUUACCAAUUUAGGACAACACAUCUAUUAACUUAUACAUAUACGUAGAAACUCAAUUAAGAAUUAAACAACACCUCAAGCAUGAUAUCAUCAUUCACAACUACCUUGCACCAUAAAGUCAAGUAAACCAGAGAAACAGGGAAUGAAUACAUAUACUCAACAAAUAAAUCCAUGACUAGUGAUGACUAACUCGACCUUUUCAUAAUUAUAUUUUCAUUUCACUUCAACAUUUAAUUAUAUUAUUUAUGUAUGGAUAUUUCCCGGACCACUCAUGGUUCUAAAUAAUAAUAAUAAUAUCAAUUGGUUCACUGAGGGAACCCAAUAUAUCAACAACAAUGGAACUUGAUCCAGUCAUGGAACCGUCAAACUUACCAAAACCUUGUACACACAAACUAUGGGUCUUAUACUUGUCCACUAGCCAUGAUAACUUAGUCUUAUAUUAUAAAUCCAUGUAACAAUAGAUUCAAUCAUAAUAUGAGUAGUACAACCACACUUGCAUUUAAAAUAAGUCACUUUACACAAUCUCAUUUUAGGUGAUUAAGCAACUUGUAAUACCAUCCAAUAAGUCAAUACACACCUUAUGUAUUGCAGCAAGUAGACAAAAGGGGUAGUUUACAAGAACAUAUGAAUUAAAUUAAUUCUCAACUACAUUGAACCACCGUCUACCCCUUUCUAGUAAAUAUAAUAUCUGGUCUAAAUAACACUUAGAACAAGUACACAUAAAAGUAGUUGUAAAACUAAUCUUAGACAACCAGUAUCUAGAAUACCACACAAAUAUUCUAUGCAAAAUUUAUUGCUUCCAACCUUUCAUCUUAUAUCUAGUUCCUAUCCUAUUCACACCAUCAAUCUAUUAAACUGGGAACGAAACAUUCAUAUCUGACCUACCAACACCUACCAAUGUAUCUACAACACAUUACCACAACCAACCAUUUCCACUCAUUAAUUGAUUAAUUAAGAACAAAUAAUUAUAGAAAAACAUACAUAACAUCACAAAACUCUUUCAACAAAAUUCAUCUUAUUCACAUAACCUGAAAAAACGAGUUUAUCCAUCUAUACACCUUGCUUGUAGGACUAUGCAUUAAAUCUUCCAUCAAUCUUUGUUAUGCAUACAUUUUCUAAUACAGGUCUGUGCUACUCAAUUAAACCUAGCCCACCUUGGCAUAAAGCAACUAAUAUGCAGUUAUGAACUUGAGAUUCUGUCUCUAUUCUUGUGAUUAUUGAGUGAAAUCCAUGAGAAAGCAUUAUGUUCUAACCCUUUAGAGUGUAUUUCUUCUCCAUUGCUCUAGAACUUUGAGGCAACCCUAGUGUGUUUUAGAAUAAAGCCUUCUACUUGUUUGCAAUUAAAGGGACAAUGAAAAAUAAGGAAAAAGUAGGAGUAUUUCUUAUUACCUCAAGUUUUUAAGCUCUUGAUCCAACAAAAGAUAGUCAUUAUAUUAUCUUUCCAAUGCUACCGAUCUCAUCUUAAUCUGGUAUCAUAGUCACAAGUUAUGGAAAAUUAUCUGAUAAACUACCAAACUACCAGUGACAACGGCCCUGGCAAUGACUCAUUGCCAAACAUAAUGAGUCAUAGCAAAAUUCAUUGUCACGGUAGUAAAAUGAGGGACUAAGACUUUAUCCCAGUGAGGACGAGUCCAUCAUAUGACUCGUAAUAAUUCUAAAUGAGUCGUGAGGUAGACCCAUCAUCAAUAUAGUAAAAACCAUGGGAUCAAUUCCAUGAAAAUGACUCCUCAUAAUGACUCAUGACCAAACCUAACAAGUCAUUACCUAAACUAUGUCGACUAUUUCCUAAAAUUUCUGAUGUACUAAGAAGGGCUUUUUGGUCUUUUUUUAUCAUUUGAUAACUCCUAACACACAUUGUAUAGGAUUCCCUAAGGGUGGCAUAUAAGCCUAAUUUCCCCCAAAGUCCCCAAAAAAUCACAAAACCAAGAAAAAUGAGUUAUUAUUUUUCUCUGAAGCCAAGUUAGAGUUCCUCAAUCUCAAGUUGAAAUUCCAAGGAUUUCUCCAAGGCUACCAUCUCUAGGUAUGUGGGAUUUCAUGAAUGGGUUCCUUCCACCCAUUGAGUCCAAAAGGAUUCUUAAAUUCUCAAGUUUAAUUCCCUUUUAAGUUUUGGGUUCCAGGUCAAAUAUGAGUUUUCUUAAUUUCUUUAAUUUAUUCCUAUAACUAAACCAUGAAGAUAUGUUUUUCCAUAGGCUUAGAAUCUUCUUAUACCUAAAAUCAUGAAUUUCCCUUAGUAUUGAUCAAUCAUUGAGUUUUGUCUUGAAUUAUGAAAUUUCCUAUUAUGGUCAGCUUUCAAUAUUAUCACAUUCAGUUGCAUUAAUCAGAGCUGGUGGAUUAUGAAUACUCGAUACCUAGGGAUUCAUGCAUAUAUGAUGUUCCAGCAUUUGAUGAAAUAAUUCACAUUUUUAACGAGGGAUAAUUAUUGUUUACUAGUAAUUAUUAGGGUAUUUGAUGAUUGUGCUACUUAUUCUCAGAAAACAAAUUCAAAAUCAAGAACAACUUGGAAAAGUUAGUACUAGAUGGAUGCGAUGGACCAACUGACAGACCAUUAGACCUGUGAUAGACCAUCAACAUGGAUUUCACCACUUGGGCAAAAAAUAGAUGAUCUGAUGGAGGGCAACGAUCAAAGUGACAAACCGUCGAACAUGCAAUGGGUCAUCUCUUUGGUCGUCGUAUGUUAAGAAGAUCUAUAAAAUUUUUAAAGAUCAAGGAUGAGAGGAACAAUGGACCAUCAGACUUGUGAUGGGCCGUCGCUCUGACCAUCGACCAUAAUAGCAAAACAGUAUUGAACUAGAUAACUCCCAAUGGACUGACUAAUGGACCAUUAUUUGUCAGAUAGUCCGUCAGGCAUGCCGUCGACAAUGAUGUGGCAGCCUGAGUUGAAUUAAUAAUUGCAACUUUUAAGAAGCCUAUAAAUACCUAACUUAGGGUCAUAUUAGGGAUCUUUUGGCUAUUGGCUGAAGUUGUAACAUACAAUUGACUGAGAAUCAAGUUGAGAGCAUAGGAAUUUCACUAUUGUUGCUUGUAAUUUGGGGAUUACAAAAACAUCUUUGAUUUUAUAAGUUGAUUCUAAAUUGCUUAUGAAAUGCAUAUUGUUUUUCAUAAGUAUGGCUAAAACUCCCAUAACUAGGGUUAUGGGGGCCUUGGUGUAAUUCAAUGUUAGGGUUGAGGGACUGAUAAAACCUUGAUAAUAAUUUCAAUUACAUAACCUUCUCUUCAAUUUAAUGAUUCUUCUUGGUUGCAAACUUAAGAUAUGUGUCUAUGAACAUUUUUCUUGAACAAAGAAGUUAGUGUUGGUAAAAGAUAAGGGUUACGAGAUGAUUAUAGUAUUUUCCCUCUAAAUUUAUGAUUGAUGCCUUAACCGGAUCAAUUUUGUAAGGAUUUAGUUGUUUUACCAAUUUAUCACUUUAAGUUUGAAAGAAUUGAAUUGAAUCCAUAUUUGAAGGUUGAAAAACAAUUAGAUGGAAGUAAUUAUACAAUUGUCCUUGUAAUUGGAAUUGUUGAUGUAUGGAUUUGUAAAAACCCACAGCCCUUAGUAUUAAAACACCUUGGUAAUCAUAACCUUAGUUUAUUAAUCCUCAUUCUCUAUACAUUGAAACUUAAACAUUAGUUUUUAAUACUUUGCAAACACUCAAACCACUAUUCAUAACAACAAAAACCCUAUUUUAAUUUUGAAAACUUAUGACUAACAGUCCAUUAAUAAUCAUAAGACUUAGUUAACACCUUAUUCCUUGUCGGAUUCAACCCUAACGUAGUUGUGUUAUAUAUUUGACAACGACCACUUACGCUCUUUUAAGAGAGUUGUAAUUUAGGAUUAUCAAAUUUUGGAAUCGUUGCUAGGGAAUGCGGUUGUUAAAAAAGUAUUUGUGCAUUAAUUGACUUUUAGUCAAGUUUCUUAAUUUUACUUUUAUUUAUUGUUUUUGAUAAUUGAAGGCUAUUUAUUGUGCAUGCCAUAAAUAGUAAGGUCAAUAUAGCCAUUAUGACCCUUCAACCCAGAACCUCAAAGAGUUGUGAGAGAAAAUAUGACUGAAUAAUAAAAGGCUACAAGACUUGCUGCUUUGGCAAAUACACAGGUAAAUUAACAGAAUGCAGACAAUCCCAGAUGUGUGCCUAAUAUAGAUAAUGAUGACUUGGGUGAUGAUGACUUGGUUGAUCCUCUGAACAGGCGGCUUGCAAGAACUAUAGCCGCACCAGUAAAUUAGAAUAGGCAAGCUAGAGGGAGAGUGCACCACCAGCGCGCCUGCGGUGUACUUUGAUCUAGAUGAUGAUAAUUAAGAUCAUUUUGUUGGAGCUAUUGCUACAGAAGAAAACAUUCUACCACCAUUGGCUCCUGAGGUAAAAUUUAAUAUCAUGAGCUCAAUAAUCCAACUGCUCAACUUGAAGGGGCUAUUGGGUGAAAUGCUGGGGGAUGAUCCUAAUAUACAUUUGGUGAACUUCAUCAAUAUUUGCAAGUAAUUUGACAAUCCUAGAGUAGGGUAAAAUGCCAUUGUCUGGGUUAUUUCCUUUGUCUCUAUCUUGAGAGGCAACUCUAUGGUUGAAUGAGUUGGCACUCGAUUCUAUAACAAACUAGAGGAAACUAAAAAGAGUUUUCCUAGAAAGGUUCUUUUCGUCUUCUAGGAUGUUAUUGUUGAGGGAUGAAAUCAACAACUUUAGGAAACUACCGAACGAGGCCUUUCAUGAACAUGGAUGUGAUUCAAGAAGAAAUUAACGUGAUAUCCAAACCUCAAGUAGCCUAAAGAGCAUCUAUUGGGGAUGUUCCAUAAGGCUUUGAAUUCCAUUGCAAAGCCAACCAUAGAUACUAUAGCAGGAGAAGCUUUCAUAGAUCUCACUUUCACUGAGGCUUUGGAGAUAUUAGAGAAAAUGACUAAGAGAAGUAGAUCUUGGCAUGCUAUGGAUUCUGAGGUAGCAAGCAAUACUUAUUCUAGUGGGAUGUUGGCAGGGCAACAUUAGAGAGAAGAGGAACGUGAUCAAGAUAUGGAUCAAAUAAAGACAUAGCUAGAUUGCCUACAAAGAAUUUGCUCUCGAGAAAGAUAGAGAAGGUCAAAGUUGUGGGGUUACAUAGUAGGGAAACUAAAUCUGAUUCUGAGGAGGAAGCAAACUACUAAAAUAACUAGGCGGUUUUGAGCUAGUAGACAAGGAAUUCAAGGUCCAAAUUCUUAUGAUAAAGCUGGUUAUUAAGAUAAUGACCAAAGAAACUAGAAGAAUGAAAAUGAUAGAAAAGGACUAUAUAAACUACUUGGGAGCCAUGAUAAUGUUGUAAAUAAUUUUUGGAAGAUGUCUAUGGGAUAUGAUGGACAAAUUAUUGAAAGAAGUAAAGUCAAUAAAUGCCAGAGUUAGGGAAAUAAAGAGCGACUUGUCGACUAUGAGUCAGUUACUUGACUCACACUCAACAUCUAUUAAAUAAUUGGAGCAGCGGAUGAGACAAUUAGCAGCAAUGUUCAACCAAAGAAAAACCAGGACUUUACCAAGUGACACAGUUAAAAACCCGAUGAAUAAUGGUUCAUGUAUGGCUAUUUAAACUAGGAGAAGUAAGAUGCUACCUGGUCCAUGUCAGGUAGCACCAUCUCAUAAUGAUGUGGUAGAGUUAGAAGAGGAGGUGAAUAAUGACUCACUAAUAGAAUCUAGAAAGCCUAGAGAUUUAUAAAAGAAGAGUACAGAAGUGGAAAGAACAUCUAAGCCAAAAUAGGUUCAUGAUGUAGAGAAAAGCAAACAAAAGGUGGUAGAGGUUACUCCAACAAGAAUUACAAAACCACCACCUCAAUUUCCAUAUAGAUUAAAGAAGAAAGAAGAUGGGGGUAAGUUUAGAAAAUUCAUGGCUAUGCUGAAGUAAUUGUAAGUGAAUGUGCCUUUAGUUGAGGCUUAGAGCAAAUACCGGGAUACACUACACUUAUGAAGGACCUUGUGAUGAAGACAGUUAGUUGCGAUCUUGUGGAUAACCUUCAUCAUUGUAGCCUUAUUACUACUAGAUCAUUAGUGCAGAAGAAAGCUAAUCUGGGAAAAUUCACCAUCUCGUGUACAAUUGGAGCAUUUAGUUUUGCUAAAGCACAUUAUGAUCUUGGAGAAAGCGUCAACCUUAUGCCAUUAGCAAUCUUCAAACAAUUGGGUUUAGGGACUCCUAAGCCAACUACUAUGCGACUAUUGAUAGCAGAUUGGUUGGUUUAAAGACUGGUGGGGAUUCUAUCUGAUGUACUUGUAGAGGUGGCCAGCUUUAUAUUUCCCGUAAACAUCAGAAUUCUUGAUUGUGAACUGGAUUUUGAAGUACCCAUAAUUUUGGGUAGGCCAUUUCAAGCAACCAGGAGAGUGCUAGUCAAUAUGGAACCGAAUGAGUUUAAAUUUAGGAUCAAUGAGGAAGAAAUUAUCUUUGAUGUUUAUCAAUCUGUGAAGCAACCUAGGAAAAUGACUAUAGUCUCGGUCAUUGAUGUUAUUGAUGAAGAUGAUCUAAUUUUUCCAGUUGAGAAAAGGUUUGUAAUGGAAACCUUGACUACAGUUUUGAUGAAUUUGACAGUGAAGGAAUUAAUGAGUAUGACGAGACAGUGUGCACAUUGAUUGCAAUGGAGUCAUUUUCGUAUGCCUCGAAGAAGCUAGACUAGGAUUUAAAAAAAUCAUCUAACACCACCAGCCACUCUUUCUAUUGAAGAGCCACCAGUGUUUUACAGCAUGUGCAUUUUGGUGAUGAAAACACUUUAUCGAUGUUUAUUGCAGUGGAUUUAGUGGAGCAUCAAGUUGAGGCUCUUAUUUUUGUAUUGAGGUGCUAUAAGAGUGACAUUAGGAGGACAAUUUUUAACAUCAUAGGCAUUCCACUGGGCAUCUUCACUCAUAAGAUUCAGCUGGAAGAAGAUUAUACUCCCUCUAUUAUGCAUCAGCACAGGCUAAAUCCACCGAUGCAAAAAGUAGUGAAGAAGGAGAUAAUGAAGUGGUUGGUUAUUGGGAUACUUUAACUAAUUUUUAUAGUAAGUGAGUGAGUCCUGUUUAGUGUGUGCCAAAGAAAGGCGGCAUGACGAUGAUGGAAAAUAAAAAUAAUGAGUUAAUUUCACUCAGGCGAGUGAUUGGUUGGCGAGUGUGUAUAGAUUAAAGGAAAUUGAAUUCUUGAACAUUAAAGGUCAUUUUCCAAUGCCUUUCAUGGACCAAAUGCUUGAUUGAUUGGUAGGAAGGGUUGGUAUUGCUUUAUAGAUAGAUACUCAGGCUACAAUAAAAUAUUGAUUGCACAUAAGGAUUAGGAGAAAAUAAUGUUCACUAGUCCAUGUAGAAUAUUUGCAUUCAAGAGAAUGUCGUUUGUAUUGUGUAAUGCAUUGGCCACUUUCCAGAGGUGUAUGAUUUCCAUCUUUUCAGGUAUGGUGGAAUACACUUUGGAAGUAUUCAUGGAUGAUUUUUUUCAUGGUUGGUGAUUCAUUUGACAGUUGCAUAGUGACUCUAGGUAAUGCAUUGCAAUGGUGUGAAGAGUUCAACCUUGUCCUAAAUUGGGAAAAAUGUCAAUACAUGGUGAAGGAAGGCAUAGUAUUAGGACAUAAAAUUUCAAAAAAAGAAAUUGAGGUUGAUAUAGCAAAAAUUAAAGUUAUUAAAAACUACCUCCUCCUAUUCCUAUGAAAGGGGUGUGAAGUUUCCUAGUCCAUGAUGGUUUCUAUUGUUAAUCUAUCAUCAGUUGUUCCUUAAUAGAAUAUGGGCGUGAAAGAUAGACUCUCAUAUGAAGAGAUCCCAGUCGAGAUCCUUGAUUAUCAAAGUUAUAGGAUGAGAAAUAAAGAGGUUACCUUAGUAAAGGUUCUAUGAAGAAAUUAGUUAGUUGAGGGAGCAACAUGGGAAGCAGAGGAAGAUAUGAUGACCAAGUACCCCCAUAUUUACUCUUCAAACUCAGUCCCACCUUGAGGUAAUAGUUCCCUUGAUUAAUUUAUUCUUUCAUUUUUAUCUCAGGCCAUCCAACUAUUUUCAUGUCAUAGAAUACAUUCACAAGUUUAGUUCAGUCCAUCCAGAUUCAGAUAUCAACUCAUGGUUUAGCUCGUAAGUGUUCAGUGCAAAAUUUCAACUUUUCCCUUAGUACUUCAGCUUAGUUUUAUUUCAGGGAUAAAUGAUCCCUAGUGAAAGAUAUUGUACUACCCCAAGUUUUUAAAAUCUAGACCCACCAAAAGAUAGGCCAUUGAAUUAGCUUUCUAGUGCCACCAGUCUCACUAAGAUCCGAUAUCGUAUUAAGAAGUUAUGACAAAUUGACUGAGGAACUAACAAACUAUGAAGGACAAUGGCCCUAACAAUGACACAUUUUUAUACACAUGAGUCAUAGCGAAGACUCGUUGUCAUUCAUCCAUUGGGUAACACUUUUGGCAUAACUUACCCGUGGUCUAUAUUAAUGGCUUAUGCCAUGUAGGAGGGUACAACUGAAUGUUGGGGGACAUAUGGAGGAACAUAUCAUAAUGGAGUGGAAGGAUUUCAACCGAGAUAACAAAUUGGCUCGCUACCUUCUAAGUCUAGUUUUCAAGUUGUGAAGGUGCAUAGGAGUUUUGAGGUAGAAUGUUGAUAGGGACCUAGAGAGUCGAAUCCUUCCAUCAUCUCAAGAUAAAGGUUCUAACCUUCAAGAGCAAGAAAAAAAAAGGAAGAUGGGUAAUAACGACAAGAUAAAUAGUGCAAUAGAGGAUGAUGAUGAUAAUACCCCUCCUACAAAAGCCUUAUUUCCUUAUGAGCAUAUAGAGCAUGGCCUAUCUACCAUGAGGAGAUUCAUAGAGCGGGCUCACUUUAUUCCUCAUUGUUUAGCCCCCUCUAUUUCUAGAGCCUCACCAGCCAUAGCUCUAGAUUUUCUAGAUCACCCAAGGGAUUUGGAUGAGGUCAAGAAGAAGGGGCACACUCAAAACUACAAACUGCCUCGGAUCUAAAAGACCAUUAAGGUUAUGUUAAAGUACGUCAUCCCUAAAAAAUUGCUUCCUAAUCUGGAGAGAGAGUAUAUAUAGAAGCUCUACUUUCUAAGAGAUUUGGAAAGAGAGGGCUUCGACCUUUGAGUCAUAGAUACGAUAUGGAAUCCAGCUAGAUCCUUGAGUACAUGUCAGUCUACCUCUAAUUCCCCUAUUUUAUUUCUAAAUUUUAGAUUUGGGUUGCCCCUAAUUGAGGCAUGUAACAAACAAUCUCACUUUUAUUUUCACAGAUAUAGAUAUUCCUUUUUUGGUAAACCAACAGCUUUUUUAUUCAAAACCAUAAAAUUAUAUUACAAAACAAAAUAGAUGCAGAACAUCUAUUUCUAAGUUCUAGAAACCUAUAUUAUCGAUCCUAGUUAAGCUUAAAAUAGAUAUACAAAAACCAAAAAAAAUUGAGAUAAAGCAAGUAAAUACUGCUAGGUCUUGAUCUAAGGUGUGUUUAUGCACUUUAGUGUUGUUAUCCUAGCUUAUUUAGCCUUGUUUUGAGGGAAAUUCGUGCUCUUUGUGUUUUAAUGAUGAUAUAAAUUAGAAUAUAAGUUUUUAAGUAUUUGAUUACAAUGUUUAAAGGUAUUUUCAAACAAGUUUGGGUUCAAAUCGAUCAUUUAGAGUCCAGACGAGAAAACUAGUUUUACUAGCUUGAGCUAGGUGAUGUUCUACUCUAUCGUGAUGGAUUCUAAUGUGUUGAAUGAGUUCCUAAUGGUUGUAUUGUGUAAUUAUGUGGGGUAAAUUUUUUUAUUGUGUUUAAAGUAUAAUUUAAUCAAGCCAAGAAUCAAAACCAAGUUAACGAUAAAAAGAGGCAAAACUAGUAGUCUUAGCUUAAGUUUCUAGUUUAUCGUCUUGGAUGUGUUGUUUUGAGCUCUAAUUUGUUGUGUUUAAUGGUAUAUGAUGCUUUUUGAGUUGAUUAUGAUGAUAUAUUAAGGAUAUAAAAUCUUCAAAUCAAGUGGAAACAGUAUGAAAAGGCUUGGAAUGGAUCAACGAAAGCACAAGACACAACUUGACGCGAAUUGAACACCCUGGAUGUCAAAGGCACGUCGCGGUCUCAAACCAUGGAAAACUGGUGAUUUCAACACAUGGUUGGCUUCCUAAGGGACCCAAAAUAGUGGGUAUCCAUAAUAAGGGUGCAUCGCGUAGUUAGAUGCACAAAAUUAGCCCUACAACGCGGCCUAAUGCAAAAACGUGGCAGUUCUAUCCUCCUAUAAAUAGGACACUUGUACUUAAUGUUAUAAACCUUGGACGACUUUGAAACUAGGAGAUGGUCUGAAAAACACUUCAAUUACGGUUUUUAUUCUUUAACUGUAGCAUUUUAAUUGAUUUUACCAUGCAUUUAUAUAUCUUGAUUACGAUUAUGUCUAUUAGCGGCUAAAAGCCCCCUUUCCGGGGUUAAAGACAAGAACAUGAUUGCUAUUUCUUGGAAUCGAAUUGAUUUUGUUUAUUUAUCAUAUUUUUUGUUUAUUUACCCUUGUUAUCAUUAUUGUAAGGAUUUGUGACCCUUGGUAUACACUUAUUAUUAUUUUUUUUGAACUCGGGAGGGGGAAUAAGAUGAUAGAACAUAGGGAUAAGUAGAGUAAGGUUCCUAUUCCUUUAAGAAAUAAGGAAUUAGAAUUAGCAUCUAGGAUAGAAAUAUACCUAGAAGACUUGAUUGGUUCACUACAGGAUGAAAUAUAAAUGUGUUUAGCUUAGUGCUCACGUCCCCGAUCAACAAUGUAGUUGUGGGUCUAAGUUAGAUAUGUGGUUAGAGGUUGGGAGACCAUGAUCAUAAAAUCAACCCCGUGAAUCAUCAACCAAGAUACAUAACUUAACCAAUGAAGUUAGAAUGCAUAGUAUGAAUGUUCUUAGUUCUUUAACCCCAGGUUUUUAUUCAUUGAUUGUCCAAAGUCAUUACUUUUACGCAUUGUUUAAUUUACUUUUAGUUAUAACACUCAAACUCUCUCUUGGUUACGUUGCGCUAAUUAAUCUCAAUAGUUAAACUAGAAUUGGAUAGUUGCUUAACACAAGUCUCUGAGGGAUCAUAUUUGGCUUUAUUUAAGGCCACUGUAUUACUUGGUGAGAACAUAUACACUUGCGUGUGCGCUUGGGCACAACAAGUUAUUGGCGCCAUUGCAGGGGACUUGUAAAUUGGAACCUAUUUUUGUUUUAGUUUUACUUUAUAGAUUUCUUUUUUGCUUUACACUUUUCUUUGGUAUUGAAUUUGCAGGAAACAAGUUGACAGAUUAGUAGGUUGGCACAAGAUAUGGAAUUGGUCAAACCAAAUCCCAACCCGAGCAACUGUAUCAUCAAUUGAGGAGAGAAGAAGAACUUCUCGACUAAUUCCCACAAAUUUACAAGGAACAAUAGGAUCCCGCUCUUAUGGUUAAAGAACAACUAGCCCACAGGACAGUUCGUGAAGUUAAAAUCCCACUUUCGAUAAAUUUGACCUUCCCUUUUCAAAAACUGACUGUUGGAGGCAAUUUUGAGUUGAAAUAGAACAUGGUGCAGCUUUUGAUCAGCAGUGGACAGUUUAUGGUGCUUUCACAUGAAGAUCCACAAGUCCAUAAAUUUUUCUCGAGAUCAGUGACACAUUCAUCCAGACGGGCGAGUUAACUAAUUAUGUAAUGCUGACAUAAUUCUUUUUUUCACUGUUGGGGGAAGAGAAAAUGUGGUUAAAUGUUGAGCCGACAAAUUCAAUCACAACCAAGGAUGACUUAGCCUGGAACCUCAUCCGAUUCUUUCUAUUUAGCAAGACUAUGAGAUUGUGUAGUGAGAUUAUGUGCUUCAAACAGAAGCCAAAUGAGAAUUUAUGUCAUGCUUAGGAGUGAUUCAAAGCUCUUCUUUGGGACUGUCCAAAUCAUCAACUGUCCAAUGACGUAUUAGCUCACACUUUUGUUGAGGCACUUGACCAUAGCACAAAAAUUUUGCUAGAUUCAGUUGCAGUUGGUCAAGCAUUGGAGCUCAGUUGGUCAAGCAUUGGAGCUGACUUAUGAUGAGCUCUAUACUUUGUUGAAUCGGAUUGCAUAAGGAAAUCCUGAGUGAUAUUCACACUCAAGAAAUGCCACAAAGAAGGUUGCAGGUGUAUUGGAGGUGGACCAAUUUACUACUAUCUCCGCCCAAAUUUCUGCACUACAAAAUUAGAUAAGCAAUAUAAUGUUGGGGCUUACACAACUUAUAGCCACAGUUAAUGCAAUUCAAUAAACUAUAUUUCGUAAGAGGUUUGUGGUAACAAUGGGCAUGCAGCUACUAUGUGUGCUAAAAAUCCUGAGUCUGUGUUAUUUGUGGGCAAUGUUCAAAGGCUAAAUUACGGGAACUACAAUCUAAAGUGGCAGACUCAGCCACCAAAUCAGCAAUGGAGUGCUCGACAGUAGCAAAUUCAAGGCAAUUAGACCAUACCCCAGAAUAACAAUAUGGAAGAGAUGUUGAAACAAAUUAUGCUUGGUUAAGCUCAAUUAGCAGCAGAUAUAAAGAGCCAGCAAGCAACUAAAAGGAGUUUGGAGUUGUAAUUAGGUCAGAUUGUGCAGGCACAAAAUACCAGGCCUCAAGGUGGCUUGCCAAGUGACACUGAAAAUUCUAACUAAAAAAUGGAAAUCACUUUGGGGGGUGGUAAGGAGCUGAAUAAAGAACUUCUAAAAAAAUAAGGAGGUAGAUGAAGAGUUGACUCCCCAACCGGUAGAUGACAAAGUUUGUGUAAAAUUUGAGGAAGUCUAAGUACUCAAAAAUUAAAGUUGUUUAACAGAUGAAGGAGAUAACGCCAUUACCUUUCCGACAAAGUAAUAUAAAAAUGAAGGAGGAUGCAUGCUUCAAAAAGUUCUUUAACACAUUAAGAGAGCUGCACAUUUACUUACCUCUUUUAGAUAUUUUACAGGGAAUGCCCAAGUAUGCUAAGUACUUGAAGGAUGUGGUCUAUAAUAAAAUUAAGCUGCAAGAUGUGAAGGCCAUAGCACUUAGUGAGGAGUGAGCUCUGUAGUGACAUAAAAAAUCCCCAAAAAGCUCAAAAACCCAGGGAAGUUCACUCUCUCUAUUCAAAUUAGGAAUAGUCAAGUGGUGCACGCACUUAGUGACUAAUGGGAAAGCAUAAAUUUGAUGCCCCUUUCUUUUUUCAACACUUUAAGCUUGGGGAAGCCGAGAUCGAGCACUGUGUUACUGUAAAUGGCAAAUGGGACCAUAGCCUAUCCUGAAGGAGUCAUAGAGGAUGUUAUCAUCAAGGUUGGUAAGUUUAUUAUUCCUACUGACUUUAUUGUUUUAGAUUUUCAGGCAGAUAAAAGAGUACCAGUCAUCUUGGGACUCCAUUCUUGGUAAUAGGAAGAGCUUUAAUAGAUGUGAGAGAGGGCACACUCACAAUGAGGCUGGAUGAUAAACAGGUAGUUUUUAAGGUAUAAAAACCACUCAACACAAUAUCCCACUACCAAGAUUUGUUCAUGAUUAUGGUGAUUGAAGGGGAUAAGUGUUUGGUGGUGGAUUUUAUUCCAUAAAAGACCUCUUCGAACUUUCUCAUUAAGAAGACCAAGCUUCCAAUACGACAUCCUGACAUGAUGCAAAUUGAUGAGCCUAAAAAGGCUAAAGUUAAGAAAGUUGUUAACCUUGAAAGUUCCCACUCAAUAGGUCAGAAACAAAAAAGAAGAUGGCGUCCUAUUGGGAGAAAGAGGAUGAAGGAAAAUGAAUAAUUCAUAGAUUGGGUCAUGUCGUGACACUAAAUCAGGAGCUGCUUAGAAGGCAACCAAAGUUAAGGUAGCUGUUAUUUUUAGUAUUUUAGUUUUUACUUUGCUAGUUUUUAUUUUUGUUGAGUCAUAGGUUAAUGGUAAGUCUGAGUACCAGAAAACCUGCGCUAAGGAGCAUCGAGAAUACUGAGUGAGGGGUCCCCCAGUCCCUCUUGAUGUAUAAAGAUGCUACUAGCUAGGCCUAGAGGCCUCAGGGAGUUUUUCUAUCUUUACUUUUAAAUUAUACUUUGGGGACAAAGUAGAUUUUUAAGAGUGAGGUAGGGAAAUUCCCACUUUUAGGAGUUUUUUUAAAAAAAUUGUGUGAGAUGUUCUUGUUGGUACUAUAGUUGAUUACAAGAUGCAAGUGUUUUUGUUGUAAAGAGCAUGUUGAUUGUGUGAAUUACUACUUUUGAAACUCUUAGUCUCAUGAUUAUGACUAUUAUACUUGUUGGCUUAGUAUUAUUCAUGUGAUUGUUUAGUUGAAAAUCUAUGAUGAUCUUACUUGAGUUGAGCAUGUGCCAUGUAUGUGUGAGGGGUUGUGUAUUUGUGAUACCUCGAGUUUUCCCGUUAAGUAUUUUGCUCCAAAAUGUGUCGAGUCAUUAAAGCCUUUUUAUCUUUCAUUAAGAUCUCAGACGAAAAUGUGUUAAAUUCUGUUCUUUAUCGUAAUUAAUAACUUUUCUGUGUGAAAUUUCUGGAUAUGCGACCCGUCAUCGCGUAGAGAAUCGAAUAAUCUUUCCAACAAUAUGUGGAUCAUCCAAAACGGAUACUCGAGUGAUGAGUUAUGAUCAUUCUGAUCUAACCAUGAAUACUGGUGAACAGUAAAUGUGCAGGAAAAAAAUACUGAGGCCAGGCAAAUUUUAGGGUCAAAUUCAAACGAUCAUAACUCCUUGUACAUAAUGAUCUGGGUGAGCUACUAUAUAUCAACAGAAAUCUCUGAGAGUCCUCUUUCCAAUGAAAUUUGUUUCAUCUAGUUUGUCCAUCGGAGCAAAAAGUUAUGGUCGACCAAAGGAUAGAUUUGACAUUAUUUGAUUUUUAAGGGUAUUUUGGUCAUUCCCACUCCAAUCGAUCCGGGAAAACCAUGGAUUUAAGUCCAUUAAGAGCAUUCAAUAGCUCAUUUUUCUCCAAAAUUUCCCAAGGGUCAAACUCCAACCCUACUACUCCAAAUUUCAUCAUUUUAUGUCUCUUGAUUGAACUGUAAGAAUUUCAAAUUGAUUUAGGAUUCGAGUUGAUCAUGCUAAGGGCUUCGAGAAGCACCCUUUAUUUUCGUGAAUAAAGUUCCGAAGUCGGAAGUUCAUAUUCAUUUUCCAUUUUUAGGUAUGUGGGGCUUUGAACAAGAUUAUCCUUUUAAUCUUGUGCCAGAUAUUUUUGUUGAAUUACAUUGACAUGAGAUUUUACAUGUUUUAACAUGAAUUAGAAAUAUGGUUUUAUAUCUUAUAUUAUUGUCCAUGAGCUAUGGGAUUAGGUCAUCCGAUAUGUGUAUGAUGUUGAGAUGGAAUUAUGUCCAAAAAGUAUUUGAUUAUGAGAGUAUGAUGAUUUAAUUUGUUAAGCCUUGAUUUAUACUAUCAUUCCACUAUUUUCUUAUUACAAAUUUAUAAUUGAUGUUGGAAAUUCUAUAUCCCUACUAUGGGUUAUGUCUCAAGUACCUUUAAAUGAGAGUUGGAUGGCAAAUUGAGAAAUGUUGAUAUUGAAGUUGCAAUGAGUCUUGGUAUUUUUCGGAUGGUUUUGAUGAGUUAAAUUGUUGAAAAUAUUAUGUAUUGAGUCUUCAUAUCCUCAUCCAAAUUUUGAGUCGGUUAUGGUUCAAAGAAUUGAUACCCUUUUGAUGUUGAGGAAGAUUAAAAUGCUUUGAGCUAAAAUGUGUUGUGUUAGGAAUCCACAAAUUGAUAUGAUUUGAUAAAUGAGAAAGAUAUUUGAUUUGGUCUUUAUGAUAGACCCUUGUGAUGUUAUGGUGGAUUUCCCAACGCUUUCUAAUCUUGUCGGGGAGUAGUACUUAGCACCGGGAGAAAAAUUUGGUAUUUCCCCAAACCUAUGUGNNNNNNNNNNNNNNNNNNNNNNNNNNNNNNNNNNNNNNNNNNNNNNNNNNNNNNNNNNNNNNNNNNNNNNNNNNNNNNNNGAUAUGAUAAUUUAUGAUGAUUUAGGAUGAUUUAUCAUAAUUUAUGAUUUAUAAUGAUUUAUGUGGAUUACAAGAUUUUAUUAUAUGAACUAUUUAUUAUGAAAUUACAAAAAUUAUGAUUUGAUAUAACUCAAGCCAAGUGAGUCAUCAUUAUCCAUAUGCAUGUUUUCAUGAAAUUGAUUAUACUAUUUAUAUUGUUGCAUGCACCCCCACAUACUCAGUACAUUUCAAAAUGCUGACCCACAUAUUUUCAUGGGUUACAUUCUUACCAAAAUGUAGGUACAAACUGUAGCGCACAUAUCAUGUUCAACUGGUUCGCAGCUCUCGAUCGGCAGGUGAUUAGUCCUUUUGAUUCAGGGACUUGAGUUGUUCAGAUUUGAGGUGUAUUGUAUUCUGUAUUCAGUCGUAUUGAGUAGGAGUAGUUGGGAGUCAUGACCCGGCUAUCUUUGGUUAAUGCUAGUAGAGGCUUCAUAGACAGUCACUAGUAGUCAGUGUAUUCAGUUUCAGAUUUGUAUAUAUAUGAGCAGAAUUAUGACCGUGUAAAUUUACUUUCAUGUUGGUCAGACUAAGUUAUGGGUUGUUUCUGAAUUAUUCCUUCUAUUUUAUGUAUUUUAUUCAGUUUCUUGGGGUUAUGCCAGAUGAAGAGUUAGCUUGGGGUCACUUGUGACCUUAAGCACCGUGGGACGUCUCGAGAUCCGAUUUCGGGGCGUUACAGUAUUCCUUGUUGCAUGUGAUGUAUAGAACUUGCCUGGUGUGUGUGGAAAGCAAAAUAAAGAGUGUGGGUUUAGGAGAUGAUAUAGACAUUUCUUCAAUGGCCUUGUUUCGUACUAUCUUUUACCUACCAUUAUACAUAAACCUAGUUAGCCCCAUUGAGCCUUCAACUUAUUUUCUUUGGCCGCCUCAUAAGUAGCCUAAAUCCCCUUGUUUGACUGACCAUAAUUUGAUCCAAAGCUCCUGAGUGCUUUAGUUGAAAUCUAAUUAAGUUAAGGAGUUGGAAACUCAAGAAGGAAAAGAUGAAAUUGAAGCCCCUAACUAAUGGCUAUUGGUAUUCUAAAAUUUGAUGUGUUGUGGUUGGGAGUGAAAAAAAAAAUUGUGCUAAAAAAUUUAAGCAUGAAUUAAAAGACAAUACUCUCACCAUAUUUUAUGUGAAUGAUCUUAAUGAGAUGGGGUAAAACUAUGUAUAUGUGAAGAGUGUAGAGGUGAGAGUAGGUUAUUAAAGCGCUUAGGGAAGAUAGUCACUAUUACUGGCCAGAAUAGUUCCUCCCCGUCCCUUAGCCUGCAUUAUAACCUGUAAAGACCUAUUUGAUCCUAAGCUUAACAUUCUGAUAUUAGUGGAGCACUACACUAAGGGCAAGCAUAUGUUUCAUUAUUUGUAACUUGUGAAUUCUUUGUGAGAGUGAGUGCAAUUUUAUUCUUAUACCCAUUGUGUACAAAUGAAAUUAUUGUGAGUGACUAUGGAUAAUAAUUGUGAGGGCACAUGUUUGAUGAUAGUUGGGUAAUUUAUAUGAUGUCUUUGAUUGAACAAAAUGUGUGAGUUUUCCAACUAAGUGAGUCAAUUCUUGAGGCUAGGACAUUUUGGAGUAGUGUUCUUGAACUUUCAAUUGUGUACAUAACAUGCUUAGUUUAGAAACUUGCAUUCUGCAUAGUCAGUAUAGUGAUUGGGUAAGUAUCUUGAUUGUAUUAGAAGUGUAGAGUCAUACCAGUUUAUUAUUCUUAGAGUAAGGAGUUGUUCAAGGACAAACAAAGCUUUAAGUAUGGGGUGAUGAUCUGAGGUGUGUUUUAUGCACUUUGGUGUUGUUAUCCUAGCUUAUUUAGCCUAGUUUGAGGGAAAUUCAUUUGAUUUAUGUGUUAAUGAUGAUAUAAAUAAGCAUAUGUGUUUAGGUAUGUGAUUGUAAUGUUUAAAGGUGUUUUCAAACAAGUUUGGGAUCAAAUCGAUCAUUUAGAGUCUAGACGAGAAAGCUAGUUUUACUAGCUUGAGCUAGGUGAUGUUCUAGUCUAUCGCGAUGGAUUCUAAUGUGUUGAAUGAGUUCAUAAUGGUUGUAUUGUGUAAUUAUUUGUGGGAAAUUUUUUUUAUAGUGUUUAAAGUAUAAUUGAAUCAAGCCAAGAGUCAAAACCAAGUUAAAGAUAAAAAGGGCCAAAACUAGUAUUCUUAGCUUAAGUUUCUAGUUCGUCGUCUUGGAUGUUGUGUUGUUUUGAGCUCUAAUUUGUUGUGUUUAAUGCUAUAUUAUGCUUGUUGAGUUGAUUAUUAUGAUAUAUUAAGGAUAUAAAAGCCUCAAAUCAAGUGGAAACAACACUUAAAGGCUUGAAAUGGAUCAACGAAAGCACAAGACACAACAUGACGCGAAUUGGACAACUUGGAUAUCAAGGGCACGCCGCGAUCUCAAACCAAGGCCAACUGGCGCAUUCCACACAUGGUUGGCUUACUAAGGGACCCAAAAUAGUGUCUCCAUGAUAUUGGCACAUCGCGUAAUUAGACACGCAAAAUUAUCCCUGCAACGCAGCCUAGUGUAAAAAUGCAGCAGUUUUAUCCCCCUAUAAAUAGGACACUUGUACUUGAUGUUAUACACCUUGGACGACUUUGAAAUUUGGAGAGGGGAUGGAAAACACUUCAAUUAGAGUUUUUCUUCUUUAACUUUAGCUUUUUAAUUCUUCAAUUAGAGUUUUUCUUCUUUAACUUUAGCUUUUUAAUUGAUUUUAUCAUGUAUUCAUAUAUCUUGAUUACAGUUAUGUCUAUUAGUGGCUAAAAGCCCUCUUUCUGGAGUUAAAGGCAAGAACAUGAUUUCUAUUGUUCGAAAUUGAAUUUGGUUAAUUUAUUUAUCAUACCAUGUUGUUUAUUUACCCUUUUCAUCAUUAUGAUAACGAUUUUCGAUCCUUAGGAUAUACUUAUUGUCCUCUUUGUGAAAUCGGAGGACAGGGGGAAUAAGAUGAUAGAAUGCGGGGUAAGUAGAGUAAGGUUCUUAUUCCUUUAUGAAAUAAGAAAUUUAAAUUAGAAUAAGGUUCUUAUUCCUUUAUGAAAUAAGGAAUUUAAAUUAGCAUCUAGGAUAGAGAUAUACCUAGAAACCUUUUUUGGUUUACUAUGGGAUGAAAUAUAAAUGUGUUUAGCUUAGUGCUCACAUCCCAGCUCAAUGAUAUAGUUGUGAAUCUGAGUUAGAUAGGUGGUUAGAGAUCGGGAUACCAUUAUCAUAAAAUAAACCCCGUGAAUCAUCAACCAAGAUAAAUAACUUAACCAAUGAAGUUUGAAUGCAUAGUAUGAAUCCCGGGUCUCUAUUCACUGAUUGUCCAAAGUCAUUACUUUUACUCAUUGUUUAAUUUACUUUUAGUUAUAACUCUCAAACUCUCUCUUAGUUAUGUUGCUCUAAUUAAUCUCAAUAGUUAAAUUAGAAUUGGAUAGUUGAAUAACACAAGUCUUAGAGUGAUCGAUAUUCAGCUUUAUUUAAGGCCUCUGUAUUACUUGGUGAGACAACGUACACUUGUGUGUGCGGCGCAAUAGUCUUCACUUAUUCUUCAAUCUACUAAGCAAAUACCCCGUGUCAUGGUCUUCCAAUAAGCUUACUAAGAGCAUCUAUCCAUUUAGGAAAAGCUUAACCUCUGAUAUGUAUAUGGAUAUCAAUUUCCCUACGUACUUUCUCCUGUUGAAAGUUACCCUCCUGGAAUCUAAGCAUAUUCCUUUCUCUCCAAAUAGUAGAAUCCACCAUAGAAAAAGUGUUGCUUAUCACAGCACCUAGACCAGACGUUCAUUUAGCCUAACUAUUUUCCUAGGUCAACUUAAAUUGACAACAUCCAAUGGAUCUGUGGACUCCCUACUAAGCUAGCAUUCUCAACCAUAGUGCCUUAGUGAUGGACACUCAAAACAUAUGUGAUUUAUUAACUCCAUAUAAGAAUUAGAUAAGUUGCACUGUAAUGGUACAUGAAUAUCAAACUGCAGUCUAUCAGUUGUAGCAAGUCUCUUCCAGGCUGCUUGCCAUAAUGUGAAUUUAUGUGUAGGAUGGAUAGUUGGUUAUAGAGCAAUACUCUUUUACAACACCUUCUAAUAGUUAGGUAGCAAGCUUAUAUACAUCUUUUUGAUAAAGAACUUCCCAUUUAUAACUAUCAAUCUCAAUCUAGUUGAGAGAUUACCCUACAGGUUCCCAACAUCCAUUACAAACUUCCUCUUCUCUAAUAUCUUCCUUAGCACCCAAGUAGCAUUUGAGGGAAUAGGACAUUCUUCAGCACUUAUCCUUUUCUAUAGUAUUCAUUCAGCUAUUUUAUCCAUAAGCAUUAUUUCUUCACAGUAACAACCCACAACAGUUUUAAAAUAGUAGAACAAUUCUAAAUUCCCAUAUUAAUAAUGUUGUGACCUCCUACAGCCUUUGGAAAACAAAUCUGCUUCCAUAAAAUUAAUUAUUUCCUUGAUCUAGCAGUAGAGCCAGUCUAGAGGUAAGUCCUACAGACCUGAUAUUUCAACUUUAGAAUUCUCUUAGGCAGCAAAAAGAUUUGAGUCCAGUAAAUUUGAACACUAAAUAGGACAGAUUUGAUAAACUGUGUUUUGCCUGCAUAAUGGAGAACUUUUUCUGACCAGCACCUGAUUCUCUCAUUAAUCCUCUCAACUAUAAGUAUACAUUGUGCAAUGAUCAAUUUUUUUAGGACAAGGGUACCCCAAAAUACUUAAUGGGAUUUCACCCUAAUGGUAUCCUAAUAUGUUCAAGCUAUCUUAUUUUAAAGUAGGUUUGACCCCAUCUAUGUUUAUAGAACUUUUCACAAUAUUAUCUUUGAGUCCUAAGGCAGAAAAGAACCUGUUAAAAUCAUCCUGAAGUAAUUGAAUUGAGGUUAUAUUAACCUUGAAAAAUGGUAAAAGAUCAUCUAUAAAGUAGAUGUGCACCACACCUAAUUUUUUACAUGUGGGUUGGUAUGGAAAUACUUUAUUAAGACCCAACUAUACAAGCUCUCAUUGAAAAUACUCCAUUUCCAGCACAAAAAGGAGAGGGAACAUGGGGUCUUCUAGCCUUAUACCUCUCUUCCCCAAAAAGUAGUUAGACCAUAAAAUAGCUAAGGGAAUAAACUAUUGAGAUGAUACAUUCCAUUAUCUAAAUAAAUUUUCAUGGAAACCCCAAUUCAGCAAGAACACUUUGCAAAAACCUCCAUUCAAUUAAGUCAUAGGCUUUCCUUAAGUCCACCUUCAUCACACAUCUUAUGGAUAAGCCUCUCCCUCUAUUCCACAUUAAUACAUUACUAAAUAAAAUAUUUUCUAUAAUACUCCUACCUUCAAUAAAAGCGGGCUGAGUAGGAUAAAUGACAUGGCCGAUCACCUGUUUGAUCCUAUUUAACAAGACCUUUGUAACAAUUUUAUAGACUAUUGUACAGUAAGCUAUAGGUCUCCAAUCUUAAACCUGGGAAGGUUUAGGGACCUUAGGGGUAAGAGUAAUUGUUGUAACACUAAAAGCCUUCGUCAUAGCACCUAUCUUAAAGAAUUAUUUCAUUAAAAUGAGGAAAUCAUCCUUAAUAACUGACAAGUUUUGAGUAAAGAACUCUGCAGGGAAUCCAUCAACUCCUGGAGCUUUAUCUGCUAGUAAGCUUUUAACAGAAUCAAGAAUCUUAAUUUCUAUCAUAGUAUCCACUAAGCUGUAUUUUUUAGUAUAAGAUAAUCAUUGUCCAUCACUGAUAAAAGCAAAAUUUGGGAAAGGUAGAAUAUCUGCUUUAGACCCCAUCAAACUAAAGAACCUUAUAAAUUCAGCCUCACCAAGCUUUGGAUCCUACAGUUUCCACCCCAAUGAAUCAAGAAUUGAAGUUAUUGCAUUCCUACUGGCCCUGAUCUUCACUUAAGUAUGGAAAAACUGAGUGUUAGUAUCACCACAUGCUAUCCAAUUUACCCUUGAUUUCUACUGUAACACAUUUUCCUCCACUUCACUCUAUUUCUUGAUAUCACCAAGCAAUCUUUUCUCCUGUUAUAUUAGACUGGGGUUCAGAAGACUAUUGCAUGAUAAAUCCCAUGUAAUUUCCAACUCACGCCUUUCUUGGGCCAGCUUUUGACUUCAAGAGACUAUAUGAGUAUUCAACUUAUUUAGGCAUUCAACUUAUUUAGGCCAUACUUUAUAGCUUUCAACUUUUUCCACAAUCUAUUUAUAUAGGUUCCAGUUUUCUUCUGGGGUCAUACAGUCUAUAAGAUGCUCUCAAAGUUUUGAUGGUUUAGCACUACUUUAAAUAACUUAAAAGGACUUAUAUUAGAAUGGAUAGGUGGGCAAACCUGGAAAAGAAUUGGAGAGUGAUCAACAUUCCAAGGAGCAUGUAGUCAACCUCUAGAUGAAUAUAAUUACUCAUCCACAACAUGUUGCCAAGUCUUAUCAAUUUUGGAAUAGACCCUACUAUUGUCUUGUUGCUUAUUACAGAAGGUGUAGUGACACCCUAUAUCCCUAAGGGUUGUAAGCUACAAAUUAUCUGCACGGUGUUGAAAGUCUUAAGACUCAGUUGGUAGGAUUUAUGAGCCUAACCUAUCAGAAUUAGUCAGAACAUUAUUAAAAUGUACAGCCAAUAAACAACUACUUCAGAUUAUAACACCUAAAGCUAUUAACUCCUGCCAUAAUUGUUCUCUUUGAACUAGUCCAUUACUAGCAUAGAUUACAUUGAAUUUAUCUUGAAAAUCAAUAGCCUUGUCACUAAGAAAACAGGGGACAACUUGCUCUAAAACCAAUUGUAUCUGCACCAGCGCUAUGUUUCUCCAUAGGAGCCAUAGCCUACCAUUGUAUGUUAUAGGAUAGUUGCAGCAAUGAUCUCAAUUAGUAACUAUUUUGCUAAAGAUAUUUUGAGCUCUAUUCUUUGUUACUGUAAUCUCUAUGAUCCCCAUUACAUCAACUUUAUUAUUAUUUAGAAAGUGCUUCAACUCCUUCUGUUUUAAGGGCUGGUAUAUCCUUCUAAUACUCCAUGUUACAAUUCUCAUGAAGGGUGAAGACCCAAGGGGUCGCUGGUAAUUGAAAAAGUAUCCACUGCUAAACUUUAAAAGCGGUUAAGCACUAGUAUUGGGGGUUGCAAAUAAGAUUUUUGUUGGGGAGCUGUCUGCACCAUUUCAAUAGUGGUUGGUCUUUUCCUAUUCAUUGAGAAUUCAGGAGAUUCCUUAGAAGUUGUUGCCGGUUCUUGUCCCACUUAGUGAUUCACUUUCUCAACUGGUAAUACCAUUCUUCUUUUCCAUAAGGGUGAUUUAGGUUUCUAUUCUUUCAUUUCUUCUUCUCCUCCUCCUUAAACUCUAUGUCCUCAUCUCCUUCUCCCACAUUAUUCUGAUAUUCCUUCGUAUCAUGACCAAAUUUCAUAAAAUGCUUGCAAAACUAUGGCCUCUAAUCAGAUUCCAUAGUUUGCUGAAAUUCCCCAUAAGGGAUGGAGAUGUCAAUUAUCUCAACAAGCACCUAGGAAGCAUAAACUUCCAAGAAUAUGUGUGCAUAUGAGAUCCUUGUAAUGGAUGUUGUAAAGUUAUUUGUAUACAGGGGCCUUCCUAUCGCACCAGCAAGUUUAAUGAAAGAGUCACUAGACUAAUACCCUACCUAGAGCCCUGGUAUGGAGACCCAUAGAGGAACGGUAGAGAAAUAAUCAGUGUUGAACUCAAAAGUUUAGCACCCAACGUUGGAAAACAAAGGGUUGGUUUUGGAAAGUGUAAGGGCCUGCCUAUAGAAUUUGCUCACUCUAUUAAGUUGAUUCAAAAUGAAACAAAAAUAUCCCUCAUCAUGAAGCACAAUUUUAGUGAUGCUCUCUAUUUUCUAGAAAUUCCUAACAUAAUUCUCCAUUGUUUUCAUUUAAGGGGUAUCUCCAACCACAUAAGCAGUAAGGGCAGAGCUCAACUAAUUCUGAAUAUUUAAAUAUAACUUUGCCCUCCAUACAUAGUUGGAAGAAAAUAGGAUAGAGAUUUACCUCGUUGUUCUAAUUUAGUAGCUUCAUGUCCUGCUGGUUUGGUGUUGUUUUUGUGGCUUUUGGGGGGUUAUUAGAAGCAAGCUGCAAAAUUUCAAUCUAAAAAUAGCUAUUUGCAAUUCUAAUAAAAUACCCCUAUAAGGUUUUAACUGGAUAGUUGCAGGAGAGACCGAAUCUAAACUUUAACCUUCAUCUUCUAUGGCAGCAGAUUGAAAUUGAGCUAGGAGAUAUCUACAGAAGGUGAUUAUAGAGUGGCAGCAAUCUCUUCCAAUGAUCGGUGUAAUCAAUUUCCCACUCGAGCUUAAGCCUUUUCCUGAAUAACUCUAUUUUCCCAUGUUAUUUUCCAAUCAUUUCAUGUUAGCUUUCCAUGUUAAGAUGUGUUAAUAAAAGGUAAUGAUCCUGCUUAGGAUGAUUGAUUUUAUUUAACUAGUAGUGAAUGUAUAAAAUUCAUAUGAUGCCAUGCAUGUUAUAUCGAUCAUGUGAUAGAUAGCAUCUUAUAAUUGUGGUUUGAAAAGGUUGGGAAUAAAAUACAGGUUAGGGGAAAUAAGGUAGAGAUUAUGUCCCAACCUAUUAUGCUAUAGCAGCCUACAUGUCGUUAUCCCUGCACCGCUACAGCGGGAAAAUUUCUACUACGGCAGGGUCGCAGUAGCAAGAUAGUGUCUGCUACCCUUAUGCUAAAACAAUGUUUACCACCCUUAACCCAAUGUCCCUAACCUUAUACCCCUGAAUUUUACCAUCCAAUGACAAUGACCUUUACUUGUUCAUCUUACAUAUAAAUCCAUGCCACAAUAAAUACAAUUAAAAUAUGAGGUAAUACAACCACACUUGCAUUUCAAACAAGUCUUUUUACAUAAUCUCAUUUUAGCUGAUUAAGAAACUUGUAAUGCCAUCUAACAAGUCAAUACACAAAUCAUGAAUUAUAAUAAGUAGUCAAAGAGGCAGCUAAAUAUGCACAUAUGAACUAAAUUAAUUCUCAACUUUAUUCAACCAUCACCUACCCUUUUGUAUUAAAUAUAAUAUCCGUUUAGAAUAGCACAAAGAAUAAGUACACACACAUAUAGUCUUAGAACUAACCUUAGACUACAAUAUCUACAAAAUCAUACAACCAUUCUAUGCCACACUUCAUAGUUUCCAAUUUCUUAUCUUAUUUAUAGUUCCCUGCCAUUCACUAAAUCAAUCCAUCGAACUAAGAACAGGACAUUAAUAUCUAAACUACAAACACCUACUCAUGUAUCCACACCACAUUACCUUAACCAAAUAAUUCUGCUCAUUAAUCGAGUAAUUGAGCACAAAUAAUAUACAAAACUCAUUCAAGAAAAUUUAUCUUAUUCUUACAACCCAAAUAUAUUGGUUGUAUCCAUCCAAACACCUUUCCCGCUGCCAACACAUGGAAUCUUCCAUCAAUAUAUGUGAUGCAUACGUUUUAUAGCACAGGUCUGUGCUACUCAAUUAAACCUAGCCUACCUGGACAUGAAAAAGUUGAUAUGGAGAUAUGAACUUGAGAUUUUGGCUCCGUUCUUUUGAUUUCCAAAGUGAAAUCCAUGAGAAAGAAUUAGGUUCUACUGUGUCCGAGCAUACUUCUUCUUCUUCAUUGCUCUAGAGCUAUAAGGCCACCCUAGGGUUUUUUAGAAUAAAGCACAAUCCUCUUUUACAAUUUAAGAAAGGACGAACAAUAAAGAAAAAUUGGGACUAUUUCUAGUUCUUGAUGUCCUGCUAUAGCAGCCUGCAGGCUACUACCACGACGUCUCUAUAUUGAGAUGAUGUGGG